CCAUGACUAUUGCUUUUGUCAUUAUCUCUCUUGCAAGGGAAUAUUGGGGUUCAAAGUACACUCCUAAUAUCCAAAAAUAACAUUCAACCAAUCUAUCUCGUGCAAAAGGUAGUUUUGUUGCAAAAUCUAGAUCUUUCCACCACCUGAAAUUAUAUAAACCAUUACCUCAAAAAUUAAUAAUUAUUGGAGAAAUUUUCAAGAGAUAUUUCAUAUGAGGAUUAGUAAGUAGCAAUCACUUAGAGAUCUUGCUUAGUUCUUCCUUGUGCAAAUUUUGUAAUAAGUUGAAAUCCAACUUUGCGAACUUCAAUAACGUCUUGUCAUGUGAAUCAUCUUCUUGAUAUAGGGAAAUGUACUGCCUUGCCUCUAAUCUUGGCAAAGUCUUACGAAUUGGUCGUUUCAGGGCAUGGGAGACUAGUGCUGAAAGGGGACGCUCAAUGCCAAUUCUUUGGGCAAGCUCUAGAUGAGUGGUGGUGAAAGCAAGUGCUUCAUCUAGUAUAUGCUCUCCAUGAACAAGAAAAUGACUCGCUUCAUAUAAUUCUAGCAAGCCUUUGACAUCACUUGUUAAGGAUAUCUUGAAAUUUCCUUUGUCAUCUUUGAAAUUGUUGAAUAUUUCUGUUCGAUUAAGGAAUUGUACAUAUAGAAAUUAAAUCUUAAUUCUUUAACUUUCAUUAAAUAUAUAAAUAUCUUUUAUAGAGUGCAUAGAGUAGAUAAAUUUACCAGAUUGAGCAUUAAAACCAUUCUCUCUAAGCAAUCGAAAUUGAAGAGAAGUAUACUCAAGAGUUUGGUCAGCUUUGUAUUCAUGGUGAUGGAAAUUAGUCUGUAAAGCAUCCUCUAUCUCUUUUUCGAAAAGGUAACUCACACCUAAGCGUUUUAUUGUAGCAAUUAAAUGGCAUUUUUGAGACGACCCAUCAGUAGCCACCAUAAGCAUCCUCGUUAUUUCUUGUUUCAGUUCUUCGUAUUCUUGCCGAGUUGCAGUAUCUAUUUUCUGCAUAGUUUUAAUUAAGGCUCAUAAGAAUAUCAUAAAAAUAAGUUUAGGGGUGGCAAUCACUUUCAUUCGUACUCACAUGCAAACACACACACACACACACACACACACAGAAGAAAUUAAAACAUUAAUAUAUUUGUAUUUGCAUGCAAACACAUCUAUAUAUGAAUCAUCUGCAAGCACAUGUAAUUGUUUACCAUUUUGGAGGGACAUGAAAGGAAAAUAUCACCCCAAAUACUAGGAUGAUAGUUGACGGAGCGACGAUUGACGUUGGACAUGGAAGACAUUUCUCUACCUAGUAAUUGAGUUUGAAAAGUACACUAUAAAAAUGAGACGAUAUCUUCUUGUUGUGAUAUUCACAACGAGCUCCUACGCUGUUGUAUUUAUAGAGAUAUAUCUGUCAAUUACCAAAGUUUUGCUGCAUUUUCCAUUUUCACGUUUUUGUCAAUUAGUUCAAGGUGGAACCUGAAUGCUAUUGGCUUGAAUUGACCCUCCACCUAAUUGAAUUGUUUACUUACAAAAAUGUUCCAUGAGAAACACCAAAUACAAUUUUCUUUUACUUUCAAGUUCCCCUUUACACGCUUCAGGAUAUUUCUUUUAAUAAUUUCUUUAUGGAAUAAUAUUCAAUAUAUUAUCAAUGCAUACGUCUAAUUUAUCAUAAUAAAUCAUGAUAAAUCACCUAAGCAAUAAGUAAAAUAGAGUAAAUAUUCGAAGAUUAAUAAGUAAACACCAAUCAAUAAGUCGAUUGAGUCUUAGCUCAAUUGGUAUCGGCAUUGUUGUCGAUGAAGGAGGAUGUGGGCUCGAGUGCGUUGAAGUGCAUUAUCCUCUUAUUUAAAAGUUAAGGAGGGAUUAUAGAUAAUUUUAUGUAUUAUAUCAAAAAGUAUUAAUGAAGUAACUUACUACUAUUCAUUAAUGAUAAAUUAAACUUAUACAUACAAUGAUAAUACAUUAAAUAUUAUUUCAUGAAAAUUUAUUAAAAAACUUUCUUAAAUGGAAAGUAAAAGAAAAUACUUUUUGGUGUUUCUCACGAAAACCUUAUGUAAGUAAAAAAAAAAAAUUUAAAUCAGUGGAGGAUCAAUUCAAGCCAAUAGCAUUCAGGCUCCACCAUGCACUGAUUGACAAAAACGUGAAAAUGGAAAUUGCAGCAAAACAUUGGCAAUUGACAAACAUAUCUCUAAAUAUAACAGCUUAGGAGCUUUUUGUCUCACACCAAUUGUCCAUUUUUUAAAAAUAUCACAAGAAGUGUUAGAAUAAGUGACCCAAAUCCUUAUUUAAAUAAAAUACUGUGGUAAAAUAAAAUAAAAGUAAAAUCCUUAUAGAAUUAUACUUCUUUUAUUUUAUUUUAGAAUAAGGUUUUUUAAACCUUAUUAAACUCCAUCUAUUUGAUAUUAUUUGAAUAAGGAGAUUCACUCCUAUUAGAAUAAGGUUUACAAGCCUAUAAAUAGGCAUAGUCUACUCUUGUAAUUAAAUUUUGAAUUCGACAUAGUGAAUUUUAUUUUCCUUUGCCCUUGGUUUUUCCCCGAAAGGGUUUCUAUGUAAAAUCUGUGUGUUCUUUAUUUUUCCUAUUUCUAUUUUUCUUUGUGAUAUAUUGUCAUUACCGACAUUAUAUUUUUCACAAAUUGGUAUCAGAGCUUCCGGGUUGUUUAUCUCAAUCACAGUAAUGAAGUCUUUGAAGUACGAAAUUCCACUGUUGGAUCGCAACACCAGAUUUGCGUUGUGUCAGAUAAAGAUGCAAGCAGUUCUUGCACAGAUGGACUUAGAGGAAGCCUUACGAGGGGUAGAUAAGAUGCCUUCAACAUUGACGGAAGAAGAGAAGAAGCGCAAGGAUCGAAAGGCGUUAAUACAGUUACAUCUGCAUUUGUCUAACGAAAUUUUGCAGGAUGUGAUGAAGGAAAAGACUGACGCUGGAUUAUGGAAGAGGUUGGAACAGAUAUGUAUGUCGAAAGCUCUAACUAGCAAGCUACAUAUGAAGCAGCAUCUUUAUACUCAUCGUUUGGAGGAAGGUGCAUCUGUGCACGAACACUUAACAGUGUUCAAAGAAAUUCUCUCAAACUUGGAGGCCAUAGAGGUUCAGUAUGAUAAGGAAAAUCUAGGGUUGAUUUUACUUUGUUCGUUGCCCCCGUCUUAUUCAACCUUUAGAGAUACGAUUUUAUAUAGCCACGAGUCUCUCACAGUUGAUGAGGUUUAUGAUUCUUUAACCUCGUAUGAUAAGAUGAAGCAUCUUGUGGUUAAAACUGACUUUCAGGGAGAGGGUCUUAUUGUUCAUGGGAGACAAGAUCGGAAUGCUGAUGAUGAUCGUGGAAGGACACAUGAACGGAAUCCUCGCAGUAAAUCUAAGGGUAGAUCGAAGUCUUCAAACAGAGGUAAAACUUGUAACUUUUGCAAGAAGAAAGGGCACAUUAAAUCUGAGUGCUAUAAGCUACAGAACAAGAUCAAAAGAGAGGUUGCGAAUAAAAAUGGAAAACAACUAGAAAAUUCUGGUAAAGCUGAUGUUGUAGAAUAUUACAGCGAUGGUGAACUUCUAGUCGCUUUUGUCAACAAUUUCAAAGCGAGCGAGGAGUGGAUCCUUGAUUCGGGUUGCACCUUCCACAUGAGUCCCAAUAGGGAUUGGUUUACAACUUACGAAACAGUGUCUGAAGGUAUUAUGUUGAUGGGAAAUAAUGCUUCAUGUAGAAUUGCAGGUGUUGGAACAAUUAGAGUUAAGAUGUUUGAUGGAGUUGUCAGAACUCUUAGUGACGUACGACAUGUUUUAGAAUUAAAGAGAAAUUUAAUUUCAUUGAGUACUCUUGAUUCAAAAAGGUACAAAUACACAGUUGAAAGUGGGGUUUUGAAGAUUUCUAAAGGUUCCCUCAUUGUGAUGAAAGGGUAGAGAAAGACUGCCAAAUUAUAUGUUUUGCAGGGUUCUACUUUUACUGGUGAUGUAGUUGUGUCAUCCUCUUCCUUGUGAGAUGAUGAUAUUACUAAACUUUGGCAUAUGCGCCUAGGGCAUAUGAGUGAGAAUGGCAUGGCAGAAUUGAGCAAAAGAGGACUUCUUAAUGGGCAAGGAAUUUGCAAACUGAAGUUCUGUGAGCACUGCAUUUUUGGGAAGCAAAAGAGAGUUUGAUUCACCAGAGGAAUCCAUAACACGAAGGGAACGUUAGAGUAUAUUCAUUCUGAUCUAUGGGGGCCAUCUAGAGUACCUUCGAGAGGUGGAGCUAAUUAUAUGCUAACUUUUAUUGAUGAUUUUUCCAGAAAAGUGUGGGCGUUCUUCUUGUAUGCACUAUUGCUAUGAUAUAGCAUGUCAUUAUUGUAUAUUACAUUGAAUUGGGUUGGGAGUUGGUAUUGUUCAGAGGAAGUGUACUGAAAGGACUCGGGCCUAAUUUACUGGCAGUUCAGCUGUAAACCACUGUUUAGUGCCGCAUUCGGUACUUUUUAGAGUGUAGGGAUGGGUGGGUUCAUUAUAUCCCAACAAAGAGUGUAGGGUUGGACGGAGAUGGUGUGUAGAGGCUGACUGGGUAGGAUUUUGUGACUGUAUAUUUGUUACUGUACUGGUUACUAAUACUGUAAUGGGCCAAGUCCCUAAUGCGUGACUACUUUUGUACUGAAUUGGGCUAAGGCCGUAACUGAAACCGAAUCUAGUACUAAAAAGGCUUAAGCCCAGACUGUGACUACAUUUUGUCUGCUUGCUCUAUAUAGGGAUUACACACUGAGUUUUUGUAAACUCACCCUUCUUAUUUAUCUGUACAGGUAAUCCCUAAGCUUUGGCAGAUCGGUAGGCGGAGGACUCAACGGUGGCCACACAACCUUAUUUGACUCUGUUUCGCACUUAAAUGGUGAUUUUAAAUUUCAUUCAGGAAUUUUAUUGUAAAUAUGGCCUCUAUGGUUUUUUCUUAAAUUUGGGAUUUUUAUUAGUUAUGAGUUAUAACUACUAGUUUUAGGAAAACUCGAGUUUUCAGAAGAACCAACCGUCUUAACAAAAUAAUUACGAAUACGCAAACUAUUUUAAAAGCUUCCAUGUAGAAUAAACGUUUUGAAAGCUUUCGAAUGAUUAAUUAACAUGAUAUUAGAAUUAAUAAGUGAUAAUGAAAAGAUUCUAAACGGAAAAUGUUUUAAGCAAAGUUACGAUUUUUAAACACUUUAACAUGUGGCACCUUCAGAUUCGGCUAUAACGAUUAGGCUGGGUUUGGGGUGUUUCAUUUUCUAUCAUUUCAUCAGAAAAGUCUUUUUCUUCUCCAAUCAAAUUUCCUAGUUUUAUAUGCUGUUGUUCUGUAUUAGGAAUUUCUUUUAGUUGAUUAUUAGAACUACUUCCUACAUUAAAAAUAUAUAUUUAUUCUUCAUCAUUAUCAGAAUCUGUUUCUGAUAUUAAUUCAUAUAAUAUUUCUUCAGGAUUUAUUUCCUUUUCAUAACAUAUUUCUAAAUCUUUCCCCCGAAAUUGGUAUCAGAGGUGCCGGUGUAACGAUUUCUUGGAGAAAUAUUAUCAUAGUGUUCAUUGUAAGUUUCUAUCUUUUGUUUACAGUUAUGUUUAUUUCGUGGUUAUUCAUCUUAAACCCCAUAUAUCUGUGAUUCUAUCUUUCUAUUGCCGUAGAGUCUGUGUGAGACGUUAGGCCUUUGAGAGAAGACAUUAUAGAUAACAGACAGUUUUAGGUACCAGAGAUAAAUAACAUGGAAGAAAUAUAGUGUUUAUAUAAAGUUAAAACUUGUAAUCAUACUAUGCAUAUAGACUCUAAGAAUGAAAAUAAUAUUUCAUCUCUGAGUAAAUGUUUUAAUAGUUUAGUAGAUAUAUCUUAUGUAUAUUUUCAUAAAUUAUAUAAUAAGGUUAGUAAAAUAGAACAACAAGUUAAUAAUUUAGGAGGAGUAAAAAAUUUAGAUUUGAGCAACGAAUCUAAAGAAAUAUUAACUAGUGUUAAUAAUAAACUAGAUCAGUUUCUUAUUAAUAAUAACAUAGAACAAGAAGUAGAUUUAGGUCCUUUAUAUUACGAUAAUAGUAAUAUAAUAUUAACUUUAUCUGAGGAGGAACAAACUUCUUCAAAAGAAUCAUCUUCUAAAAAAAUAUAAAAAACAUAAGAAAACAUAAAAAAUUUAAUAAUCAACAAAGAUAUGAUUUCCAGUCCUAUAAAGAACUUAUAAAACAUUGGAAAGAUAAAUUUACUAAUAGUACUGAUAAAUAUGAAAGAAUAGAAUAUUUAAAAUUAAUAGAAGAACUUUAUGAAAAACAUAAAGAUUUAUUUACUUUAUUUAAUUAUCAUUAUAUGUUAAAAUAUGAUACUACAGACAGUAGUAAUUCUAGUAAUUCUGAUAACUUAGAAGACUUAAAAGUCACUAGUUAUAUUUCUGAUGAAGAAAAAACUUCAACAGAUGAGGAAGAAAAUAUUCCAGAACCUAUGGAUACUGAACAAACAGAUCCUUAUGGAAAAAGGAAAAUAGAAUCAAAUCUUCAAAAAGAUGAUUAUUUGAGAUCUUUUAAUAAAGAUUUUGAAAAAAUUGAGAAUACAACUAGAAUUUUUUGUAACAAAACCAAAAAUAUAGUUAUUAAUGAUGUAAAACCUGAAUAUCCAGGAGAAACAUCAAGUCAACCUAUUCAACAAAGAAUAGAUUAUUUAAAAAAAGAAAUGUGGCUCAAGAAGGAAUAUAUUUAGACUUAACUAAUAUUCCUAUAGCAGAUUAUGAAAAAACCAUAGAUGAUUGGGCACAGUCUAUGACUAUUGUUGUAAACAACAACAAUACUUGGUCCAAAGAAAAGUUCUUACAUUAUUUUGUGGGAAUAUUUCAAGGAGAUGUUCUACAAUUUCUCAGAAUAUGGGAAGAAUCUGAGAAAGGUGAAGAACAAAAAUGGCAGUUAAUCAACCAGAUAGGAACUCCCAAAGAUCUUUUAAAACAGUUAACUUUUAUUCUAAAAAUAGAAUUUUAUGGUUAUACUGAUAAAAAAGAUCAAGAUAAUAUAUCUAAUUAUAUUUUAUCUAAAAUAAAAUUAUGUGAUAUUAGAUAUUUAGAAGAAUUCUCUAAAAAAAUUAUACAUUAAUAUUAGAAACUAAAAAAUGAAAAUGUAGAAUUUUAGAAAAUCCAAUAUUUUCAUAAAUUACCACCACUGUGGGAUGAGAUAUGUAUAAAGGAAUACGUGUCUUAUUUAGAAAAACAUAGUAAACUAGCUGGUAUGCCAAUAGAAAAUAUAGAUUCUAUAGGUAAUAGGAUAAACUUUGCAAAGGAAAUAAUAACUUUACAUUGCUUAGAAAGUAAAGCUGGUAAACAAGUUAAGCAUAAAUUAAGUACUAAUUAUUGUACAAAAAUAUUAGAAAACAAAUGGGAAUUUGGAUGUAAACAAAUAUGUCCUAAUACUUAUAAAAAGAAACAUAGGCGUUAUAAAUUAACAAAAUUGAAACCAAAAAAUAAAAAAAUAUAAUAAUAAAAAGUUUGUUAGAAUAAAAACUUCUAAACCUAAAAAACAGAUAUGUAAAUGUUUCAUAUGUGAUGAAGAAGGUCACAUAGCAACAAAUUGUCCUAACAAAGGAAAAAUGCUAGGAAAAUGAUUAAAAGUCUUGAAGAACAAGAUUUAGAUAUAUGUUAUGAAAAAGAAAUAAAUCCUGAAGAAAUAUUAUAUGAAUUAAUAUCACAAACAGAUUCUGAUAAUGAUGAAGAAUAUAUAUUUAUGUUUAAUGUAGAAAGUAGUUCUAAUAAUCAAUUAGAAGAAAUUUCUAAUACUGAAGAACAGGAUAUAAAACCAGGAAAUUUGAUUGGAGAAGAAAAGACUUUUUCUAAUGAAAUGAUAGAAAAAAUAAAUAAAAAUCAUAUUUCUAAAGAACUAAUAUAUAAAAUAUCUAAUUUCAAAAUAUGGACUCAGAGACAUAUAGAGAAAAUUAGUGGAAACACUGUAGCUAACGAUAUGCGAGGUGGAUUAACAGAAUCCCAUUUGUUGAAACCCUUUUUUGAAAACAAAAAAUUGGUUGUCGACUUUAAAAAAAAUAAAAUUGGAGUCGCCACCGAUCCUUUAUUAAGGUGUGAUCGGCUCACCUUAAAAAUUAUUUUGGUCUAUGAAUUUUAAGAAAAUGAGCUCGGGAGUCAGUUACGCACGAGGAAGGGUUAGCACCGUAUUAUCUUCGGACCACUGUAUUAUCUUCCACCUUAUCAAGAAACCCGUAUUCCAUAACAUGCUUUCUAAUCUAGUAAUCGAACUCAAAUCAACAUCUCUUUUCUAAGAUGCAAAUGCAAUACAAUCAUGAUGUCAUGCAAUCAAAACAAAAUAAACCCAAGUCAGUAUCACACCAAAAAGCUAUAAUCCAAUACAAACAUGAAAUAGCAAGAACAUUUAUUCAGGAAUCCACUAGGGUUUGGUAUAGCUCUACCUAGGGCAAGUUCCUAAAGCUCACUAUAUGAGACUUAGUUUCUAGAGUAAGGGUACCCGAACCAGCAAAUUCCUCGAUCCUCACCCAUUAUAGGCUCAUGUGGAUCGAGUUCUGUUCAGGGGGAUACAUUUCCCUAUGGCUGCACGGAGAUGAAAAUCUCACGAAGACAUAGGUACGGAUGUAUCCCGGAAGUGGUCCAUUACCCUGCACGGAGGUGAAAACCUCACGAAGGACUAGUUUCUCGCUCCCACUUAAAGGGGUAAAACGGACCAUGCAAGGCAAAAUGCAAAUACAGAUUAAUCGGCUUGGUCCAAUCAUGCAAACAUAUCAUGAUAAAAUAUCAAUGAAUGCGAAGGGAAAUCAUGAUUUUAAAACAAAACUUGAUUUUUCGAUCACAAGACAAAAAUAAUCAAUUUAUGGCUCGGCUCUCUAAGGUCCUCAGCGGAGUCGCCAAACUGUCGAAACCCUUUUUUUGAAAACAAAAAUUUGGUUGUCGACUUUAAAAAAAUAAAACUGGAGUCGCCACCGAUCCUUUAUUAAGGUGUGAUCGGCUCACCUUAAAAAUUAUUUUGGUCUAUGAAUUUUAAGAAAACGAGCUCAGGAGCCAGUUACGCACGAGGAAGGAUUAGCACCCUCGUAAUGUCCAAAAUCGGUACCAAGUUGAUUAUUUAAUGUCUUAGUGUCGAAGGCUAAAAAGGAUUUUUAAAACAACUCAAAUGAUGAAAUCUGAAAAGGAUAAUCAAUUGUUCAAGUCAUGUGAAGAAAUCGAGUCCCAAUACGUUAGGGUACAAUUUCUCAAAAUCCCCAAACUUUGAAUAUCACUUUUAUUUUAUGCGAAAAUCUUUAUUUUGAGAAAGCAAUAUGUCACGCCCAAUACGUUAGGACACAACAAGUUAAGUUCCCAAAAAAGAUUUCUAUACUCGCACAUUUUGAUUCAAGAAUAUUCUCGGUUAUUUAAAAUUAACAAAGAAAAUCAGAACCCAAUACGUUAUGGCCCAAUUUUCCUCGAAAAUCCCAAAACUUCGAAUAUUGCUUUUAUUUUUAAAAACCUUGGAAUCAAGAAAAUAACUUGGAUGUAUCGUCAAAACCAAAAUAUAUUUUCUAAAGGGUAUGUUAAAAAGUUAAAGUACAAUAUGAACAAACGCUUUGGUUUAAAAUAUAUAUAUAUAUGUAUAGGUAUUUACAAAAUAUAUAAAUUCAAGCACAAUAUACAAGUAAAUUUGAAAAUAUGUGUACGCGUAUAUUUAACACAUAAAUGUAAGUACACAUAUAAAAAGGAAAGUAAAGAAAUAUAUAAAACAAACUUAUAAUAAUUCCUACAAAUAUGCAUGCAUAAAACAACAUGUGUAUGUACACGUGAAAAUUAUGAAAAUAAGAUAAAAAUAUCAAAGUAUGCAUAUGUAUAUAUAAAGGUAUAAGGUAUAUAAAAAUUAGGAAAGUAAAAUAAAAUAUAAAAAAUUGCAUGUAUAAAAUAUACGUAUUUAUAAAAGCUUAGAAAAUAUAUACUAAAAUAUGCAUGUAUGUUAUAUACAAAGUUUGCGUAUGUAGGUAUAGAAAAUACAACAAUAAUAAUGAUAGUAUGUAAUAUAAUAAUAAUAAUAAUGGUAUAAUAAUAGUAAAAAAACUAAAAAAAUGGACCGAAUUGAAUUAAAAACAAAGAAUGGGGGCCGAUUUAAAAUAAAAUUAAAAAAAACCAACUUGAAUGCGCGCGUAACAUUGGAGGACCAAACGGGCAAUUAUUCCCGCCCUCCUAAACGCUACGCAACAAUGGGCUAAAUUAAAACAAAAAUAAAAUAUGCGGCUCAAAUUUUGAAAAAAAAACAAAGUAGGUUUAAUUGCAACGCAUUGCAAAAGGGAGGGACUGAUUGCGCAAAUUCCCCUUUAGCCCAAACGCUCAGAUCCUCCCCUCCGGGUCGGGUCACCACGCGGGUCAUGCCAGGGUAAAACGGCGUCGUUUCAAUGAUGCUAUUUAAAACAAUUUUUUUUUCUAAAACAGAAUGUUACAACAAAAGAGAAAAAAAAAGAUGCUCUCUGCUAGGGUUCUUUUAACCCAUUCCGCGCCGUCGUCCAUCUGCCCCUUCACCAAAGCUCCGAUGACGACGGAGAUAGUGGUGGCACGGUGACCUCGACGAAUAGGUAAGUGUUUUCCCCUUCUUUUCUUUGUUGUUUUAGGUAAAAUAAAAUGAAAAAAUAAAGAAAACAAAAAGAAAUAUAUAAACAAAAAGAACAGUGAAUACUACAAAGUAAAAAAACCUUUGAAAAAACAAAUUUCCUUUGUAUUUCUCUGUAUUUUUCCUUCUAUUUUUGUAUUUCUUUUACACUGGAAAAUUCCCCCCAUUUACAGAUUUUCCACGGCUUUAAAUAGCCGAAAUCAAAAAGAAAAAUGAACAAAAUCAAAAAGAGAUAUAUUCUAUUUUUUGUUGGCGUGAUUUUUGCUAUUCUAUUUGUGUUUGUUGCUACAGGUACUGCUGGAAGAGAACGCGCGCGGAGUGGUGGGCACGACGUGCGGGAGCGGUUACACGAUGUGCGGCGCUUGCGGAGGUGUGGUGCGCAGGGCGAUGCGGUGCUGGGGCCAAAGCUGCUAGGGUUUUCCAUUUUUGGGUUGACUUGGAUCAGAAAAUGGGUCUAUAAUUUGGUUAUUGGGUCAGGGUGUUGUUGGGUUUGUUUAUCGGUUUGGGCCCGGGCAUAUUUGGGCUUGUACACCAUUAUUUACUAAAGAUAAAAUUAUGAGGAUUAAAAAGAAAUACCAUCAAGUUAGAUAUAUCCAUUUAGGGAUAAUAAUGAUAACUAUUAGAGCUCUAUUUAGAAAAGGUCAUGAUAUUCCUAUAAUAGCUGUUCUUUUAGAUAAAAGAUUUGAAAAUCCAAUAAAAAUCCUUAUUGGAGGAAUUCAGUCUAAUUUACAUACGGGUGUAAUAGGAUUUAAGGUUACACCAAAUUACUUUAUAUCCAUUACAGAUCCUCUAAUAAAAGAGUGUCUAUGCCUUAGAAUACAAACAAAAAAUUAUGAUAUUAUUGAUUUAGCAGAAGAACUAGCAAUAAGUUGGACUUCUAUAAAUGAAUAUACAAAUACUGCAGAGGUAGAAAUCAAAGAGAUAAAUAACAAAAUUAUUGGGCUCUUUGAACCUAAUAAAUUUACUACAGAAAUACAACCAAAAUUAUUACAUUUAAGGGAUCUAUCAAUUCCAAAAGAUUGGAUGAUAGAAAAGAUAAGUAGUGCAAGUACUUCUAAACCGGUAAGUACUAUAGAAUACAUGUCAUCAGGGAAAAGUUAUACUUUAAAAAUCUUGCUAUAACUAAUAUAGAUGAAAAUUUAAUUUUACCCUCUAAUAAUUCAAUAGAAGAAGAAGAGGAUAAUAUUAGUAAUUCUACACCAAUAGGAGUAAAAACAGUUCAUAUUCCUAUUUUCCCUACAGAACCAAGUAGAAAUUCUAGAAACUCUAGAAUGGAAGAAAUACAAACUUCAACGAUUAGUCAACAAAUGAAAGUUGGCGUAAAUAAUUUCCAAUCCAGGAAAUAUAACACAUAUAUUGAAAUUACAUUUCUAUUUAGAUAAUAUAAAAAAUAUUCUUUACAUGUUUUAUUAGAUACUGGAGCUACAACUAGUAGUUGCAGAAAAAAUGUCAUUCCUGUAGAAAAAUGGGAAAUUAUGAAAAAUCCUAUAAAGGAAAUAGGAAUAGAUGAUAAUAAAACCAUAAUUCAAUAUAAAGCUAAGAAUAUACCAAUCUACAUAAAUAAUGUAAGAUUUAUAAUACCUAAAAUUUUAUGUUUUCCUAAAAUGCAUGGAGACAUAUUAUUAGGAAAUAAUUUUAUAUGUCAGUAUUUACCAUUUUCUAUUGAUAAAAAGUCAAUUAGUUUAUCUGUAGAAAAUUCUUCUAUAAAAAUACCAUUAGUUAAUAAUAAUAAAUUUGUGUAAUAAAACUUUUACACCAUCAAAAGAAUAAAUUAUGUGCUUUUAAUUUUGAAGUAAAAAGUACUAAUAAUUUAUUGCUGAUUAUCUUAACAGGCUUUAUAGAUAGAGGUAAAAAAACCCUCUAGAAACAGUUGGUGAAUGGACGACUGUUUAUAAAAAAACCCAACAAAGGGAAAGCAACAAAUUCCAAAAAAGGAUUUGUUCCUGCACAAGUACCAUUUUAUCCUAAUCAAGGAUAUUAUAUGUCAUAUCCAAUAGUAAAACAAUCAGUUGGAACUUCUUUAUCAUUGACACCAAAAACGGUGAGUCAAUUAAAAUGGUCCCAAGAUCCAAAUUCAGCGUUUCAAGCCAGUUAUGCUGAAAUAAUCAAGGGAGCAAAAAAUUUGUUGAAACAACAACAAAGUCAAGAAAUUAAAGAUUUUUACAAUCCUGGUUUAUCGCCAGAAUUAUAUAAUUUUAUUAAUGAAAUAUGGAAAACCCAUGUUUCUUAACAAAGAGCCAAUUUCAGAAGAGCUCUUACAAAGUUUUCACAAUUUUUAGUUGAAAAAAAAACUAAAGAAAGUGAAUCUGAUGAUUUAUUAUUAAAAUCCAUCUUAUACAGAGAUUGGGAUGAAUUCCAAAUGGAAUUUAUGGAUAUUAAGGAGAUAAACAAUCUUCUUGAUAUAUUUCAGUACUUUAUUCAUAAAGGAAAAACACUACAGCAAAAUAGGUUUUUAGCGGCGUUUUUUCGGGCCUUUAGCGGUACUUUUUGCCGCCGCUAAAGAUAUUUGCGGCGCUUCCGAAAGCGUCGCAAAAAAGGCCGCUAACGAAAACGUCGCUAACGUUUGCAGCGUUUACAACUAAAAACGCCGCUAAAGAACAUGAUCUUUAGCGGUACUUAAGGAAAAACGCCACUAAAGAACAUGAUCUUUAGCGACGUUUUCCCUUAAGCGCCGCUAAAGAUCAUGUUCUUUAGCGGCGUUUUUCCUUAAGCGCCGCUAAAGAUCAUGUUCUUUAGCAGCGUUUUUCCUUAAGUGCCGCUAAAGAUCAUGUUCUUUAGCGGCGUUUUUCCUUAACCACCACUAAAGAACAUGUUCUUUAGCGGCGUUUUUUUCUAAGCGCCUCUAAAGAAAAUGUUCUUUAGCAGCGCUUUUUCUUUGAGCACCGCUAAAGAACAUGCUCUUUAGCGGCGCUUUUUUACAAAAACGCCACUAUUUUUGGGAUUUUUUUAUAUUAAAAUUUUCAUUUCUUCUACCCUCCUGUACCAAAAAAUCAAAAACAACCAAAUCUAAACCAGCCAAAAGCAAUAAAUUUAUAUAAUAUUUCAAAUUAAAUGAAUAAAAUAAUAUUAAUAUCAAUAAAUAAAAGUGAAUUCAUAUUAUUUUUACAAAAAUGUUAAAAGUUAAAAUGAUAAAAAUAUUAAUGCAAUACACUAUGACGGCGGAAGAUGCAACUGAAACAUCUUCAUCAUACUCUGAAGCUGCUGCUAGAGUUUGUCGUACUUUCUGCUCUGCUCUGUUUCUCUCGCUGCAGCCUCUGCUUUAAGUUUUAGCUGCAGUUCUUCAUAUUUCUUUUGAACCUCUACUUCUCUCGCUGCAGCCUCUGCUUCCCUCGCUGCCGCAUUUGCUUUAAGUUGUAGCUGGAGUUCUUCAUAUUUCCUUUGAACCUCAGCUGUGGUCGCUUGCAUCUGAGUCAUCUGGUCUUUUAACCUCUGAACUUUAGCUUGAGCCUGACUCCCCGAAGCCAUGUAUUGCUGCGAACUGGAUCCAAAAUAUUGGGUUGGGCUAACAAAAGAUCCUUGAAAUCAAACCCGACCAUACCUUUCAGGACCCAAAACUUCAGUAAUAAUCCGGUUAUCAAUGUCUUCAAGAUGAACAGAACUAUCACUAGAAGCAAUCGCUUUGUACUCCGCCUUUUUAUCCUUUAGUUUUUCCUAAUAAAUAAAUCACAUAGUUGGGAACGCAAUAUAUAUUAAAAAACAUAUGCAACAUAACAAUAGUCGCAUUACAAGCAAUGAAUUAAACCAUUAGAAAAUAAACACUAUAAAUAACUAAAACAAGUCAAAUCGUAUUAAGUAAACGUACCAUUAUUUCACCGGCUUCAGGAGUCAUGGGAGAUCCAUCUUUCUUCCUAUGUGUAAUUUCCAAAAGUUGAAGGCGUCCAACUUUUUGACCGGACGACAGUUCCUACAAUAUAGUAGUAAAAAUAUUAUUUAAUGGAAAGUUAUACAUAUUUGACAAUAUUAAAAAAUUAAAAAAACCUCCGCCUCAACUACACAUGCAAAACUUCUCGACCCGACUGUGUGAGUGAAUUUUUGUUUCUGCCUACUGCUUUUUCCAACUUGUUCACGAUCCUACGUUAUGAAAUUUUUAGUACGUAAAUAGUAAAUACUAUAAACCAAAAUAAUUACAAUAGUUUGGAAGUACGUCAUACCUCGCCUUUCUUCGAAUGCCAAAAUCUAAUCGCAUCUUCCCAUUGGUACCUCAACAUACCCGGCGGGACAUUUUUCAAUUUCUCAUCGAGGGUUGUUUUUGUCUUAUAAUAAUUUUUCUUCAAAGUACUUUUAUUGUCUCUCCAUCUUUUUCCCAAUGCCUUCUUUACAUAAGCAUCCGAGACCUCUAAAGCAAACCUCGACUACAAGAAACACAAGUUAAUAAAGUAAAUAUAAAUGAAACUAUUUUCCAAGCAUUACAGAUGACAUUAACAUUUUGUUACCUUAAUAUUUUCGAGGGCUUGGUUUUUGUUGCUAUCGGGCAUUUGAUGCCAUGACUCGUAGUUGAUAGGCAACAUAUUUGCAUUUCGUGCUAAAAUGCCCAUGUAUCCUGCUAAAAGUCGAGCUUCUGAUCCAACAGGCUGACCAAAACUGUUUCGUCCAACUUUGACACGCUCGACUGGAUCUAACUCGUAUAACUCUCAAAGUAGCGUACGUCCUCGACCUCUGCGCGUCCCACCAUUUUCAGCUACAAAUGGUAUAUUAUAAUAUAAGAAUUUGAAAAAUGAAUCAAUUAUAAGUCAACACACAUGUAAAUUAAAUAUAAAAUUACUUUGAACUUCUGUAGGAUCCUCAGGUGUAAUCGGAACAUUCGAAGAUCCAAUUGCUGUCUGUUGUUUAGUACUAUUUGUUUCUGUCGAGUUUAGAUCAUUUUGAACAAUGCUUCCCCUUAGAAUUUUUCUUCUAGGCAUUUUAUCUGCAAUACACAUAAAAUAGUUGAAAACUUAAUAACUAAUUACAACAAUAAUAGCACAUAUAAAAUAGUUGAAAUAUAUAAUAAGACCAAGAUUUAAAUUAUGAUAUUACAUAUAAUUAAACAAUCGUAAAAUCUUACUACAUCAUUAUUCGUAGAUAUUUUCAUCUGUAUCCUGACGAACCCAUUGAAAUUGUGCACUAGUACUAGGGAUAUUAUCGUUUAAGUUUUGUUCUGGAAAGGGCAAAGUUUCUGAUCUGUUGUCAAUGUUAUCUCUACUUCCACUGCCCAUGUCAAACAAGUCUCUAGGGAUGUUACGGAGUACAACGUACCAACCCUCAUCAGUUGGAUCUUUUAAGUAAAAAACUUGUUUGACUUGAGAUGAGAAUAUAUACGGCUCAUCUAUCAGUUGUUGUCCUGUGUGAAUCAAUCGGUCAAAGUUCACCAUUGUAAAACCAAAUUGAUCUUGCUUUAUUCCACGAGCAGUAUUAACAUCGGCCCAAUCACCUCGAAAUAAGACAACUUUCCAUUUGCCGUAGUAAUCCACCUCAAUUAUGUCAGUAAGAUGUCCGAAAUAUUCCACAUUUCCCUUGACAGGAUUAUUGUCCCUAGCACUAGCAUAACUUGUAAUUGCAGAAUCAACAACUAUUCCAGAAUUUUGCGUUCUCCUCAACCUCUCGCGAUAUUUUGUAUGAAAUCUGAAUCCGUUGAUGAGGAACGCACUAUAUCUUUUAACCACUCGAUUUGGACCUUGCGAGAGCCAUUUAACUUCGUCGUUUACGUUCUUCCCACUCCAAACCUAUUGAAUGGAAAGUAAACUGAGUAAUUAAAAAUGUUAUGAGAAAACAUUAUUAUUUGUAAGCGGAAGCUCCAACUGCAUACCGUUUGACUUAACCAUUCAUAAAAAGAUUCUGUAAACAACUUAUUGAUGUCUCGAUGAACGAGAUCUCAAUAUUUGUUUGUACUCACUAUGUUAAAAAAGAAUUCACUUUGUUAGAAGAUAAACAAUUUUUAAUUUGAUAAAUAUUUAUCAAAUUUGUAGAACUUACUUCCGUAAAGGUUCCAUUGAUUCGUGGUGAAACAGAACAUAUCGAUGUGCUUGUACCCACGACAAAUGAUCUAAUUCUGGAAUUUGAACUUUGCCGAUUGGUUCUCCAAAACAUUGGAACAAAAAAGUAUCGACCAAGUUAUGAUCCGUGAGUCCAGCGUUCCUAUUUGGUCUGUUCAACCUUGUUUCGACAUCUUCCAAAUAUCUUGAGCAGAAGGUCAUACAUUCCUCUGCCAAGUAGCCUUCAGCAAUCGAUCCUCCUAGAUAUCGCUUGUUGCGGCAGUAAGACUUUAAUUUGGAUAGGAACCUAAACACGAUAUACAACAUUAUCAAAAGUGUAUUACUAAAGCCAUAGAGGUGAAUGAAGAAAAUUUUUAAAAAUUUAAAUUAACACCUUUCUAUGGGAUACAUCCAUCGAUAGAAAAUGGGUCCGCCAAGAACUACUUCGUGCGGGAGAUGGAUUAUCAAGUGAACCAUAAUGGUGAAGAAGGAAGGUGGGAAGAUUUUCUCCAUGUUGCAUAAAGUCAAAACGGCUCGAUCCUGUACCUUCUGAAGUUCUUGAACAUUCAAAACUUUUCCAUAAAUGGCUUUCAUUAUAUUGGAUAGUUCAAUUAUACAAGAUGUCACCUUCUUGGACAUACAACAUCGUAGAGCAACUGGCAGUAAAUCUUGCAUCAAGAUGUUAUAGUCAUGUGAUUUUAGCGAAUAUAAUCUUCGAUCUUGAACACUAACACAUCGAGAUAUAUUUAAUGCAUACGCAUCUGGAACCUUUAUAUCCUUCAGCACCAUGCAAAACAGUUCUUUCUCCGUCUUGGACAUUGAGAAAAUAGAAAGCGACAACUGAUAUUUCCCAUUCGGAAGUGGAUUGGGAUGAAGAUCAGGCCGAAUUCCCAUUUGGACUAAAUCAAGUCGACUCUGAAGAUUGUCUUUUGAUUUUUCGUCAACAUUCAAAAUUGUACCCACAAUGUUCUCGCAGACAUUUUUCUCAAUGUGCAUAACAUCAAGAUUGUGUCGUAAAAGGUGAUGCUCCCAAUAAGGCAACUCAAAAAAAUAUUUCUUUUUUUCCACAAGUCCGCCUUAUUAGGAACGUCCUCUUCGUCGGAGUCAUCAUCAGCUUCAUCAUUUGAUCUUUUCUUUCUUUGCGUGUUUGGCGGUUGGUUCAUCUUCCCAUAAAUGAAAUUCAUAUCUUCCAACAUGAACAAGAUUUCAGAGCCACUGGUCUGGGAAGGAGCUUCUCUGAACUCUUCAGUGCCGUCAAAUACAGAACUCUGAAAUCUAAAUCUAUCGGUAACCACCAACGAUGCCCCAUGUAAGAGAACUUCUUCCCAUUGUACAACCAUUGCGAACAUGUUUGUGCAGCACAACAAGGACAUACAUAACGACCCUUGGUACUCCAACCGGAUAAAUUGGCAUAAGCGGGAAAGUCAUUAAUUUUCCACAUCAAAGCUGCACGUAAAUUAAAGUUCUCCUUUCUCACCACAUCGUAUGUCUCAACACCAGCCCAUAAUUGUUUUAACUCUUCAAUUAGUGGCUGUAAAUAAAUGUCGAUAUCAUUCCCGGGCCCUUUCUCUCCAGGGAUAAUCAUAGAUAAGAUAAGGGAAGAUUGCUUCAUGCAAAUCCAUGGAGGCAGAUUGUAAGGAACAAGCACUACUGGCCUGUACGCAGUGCUCAUGAUCUUGAAAGGAUUAAAUCCAUCAGAUGCUAGCCCAAGCCUCACACUCUUAGGAUCGCUUGCAAAGCCUGGAAAUUUAUUGUCAAAUGAUUUCCAAGCUAAAGAAUCUGCCGGAUGCCUUAGUAAUCCAUCAUCGGUUUGUCCAUCAUGGUGCCACGUCAUUGACUCCGCUGUCUUCGACGACAUGAAAAGCCUUUGAAGCCUUGGUAUCAGGGGAAAAUAUCGUAAAAUCUUGACUGACUUCUUUCUCGACUGUGCAUCAUUUUCAUCGUCGUUUCCAUCUUCUGUGUAUCUACUAAUCCAACGGGAUUGGCCGCAUACAUGACAGCACUGUUGGUUUUUUCGAUCGCCCCAAUACAACAUGCAGUCAUUUGGGCAACUAUGGAUUUUGUUGUACCCAAGGCCUAAAUCUUUUAUCAUUUUCUACAUAUCUUUGCAUGACUGAGGGAUUUUUGCAAACGGAAACAUUUCUCUCAAAAACUCUAACAGCAUUGCCAACGAGUUUCCGGUCCACCCUCCCAAACAUUUUAACUAAAAAAGACGAACAAAGAAUGACAUUUUUGAAAAUUUUGAUCCCUCAUACAGUUCUUUGUUCAUGUCAUUAAGUAGGGCGUAGAACUUCGCCGCUUCUUCAUUCGGCUCUUCAUGAGGUACACUACUUCCUGGUUCGGUAAAAGCAUUUAUCCCAAUAUUACAAUCAUCAGAAGCCACAAAGUCCGCUGGGAACGACUGGACACCAUGAUUGUGCAUAUUAAAUGCAUCCCGCAACAUACCUUCCAUGUCAUCCCCUCUAUCAGACUGAUGGUAAGCAGUACCAGAAUAAGAUACAUCCAUCGUUGAAGAGGAAGUACUAGGCGGGCAUUCUCCAUGAAAUAACCAUUGUUUAUAACCCCGAACAAACCCAUCAACAAUUAGAUGCUCGUAUACAACCUCACGAUAAUGCCAGUUUAUGUUGACACACUUCUUACAGGGGCAAAGAAUCAUGUUCUCUUGGCUUGCAUAUUGAAAUGCAAAAUUUACAAAAUACUGUACUCCAUUUCGACAACCGUUGCUAACCCUUGACAAAUUCAUCCAAGACCGGUCCAUUUCUUAAUUCUUAAAGUCUGACGUUGACAAUAAUUUGCACGGGUAAGUUAAAACGCCAGUUAUAACUAUAAAUGAGUUAUGUAAGUUAUGAUAUGAUAUAUUUUUAUGUAUUAUGUAAUUUAUGUACUAAGUUCUGUAUUAUGUAAGUUAUGUAAGUUGUGUAUUAUGUGAGUUAUGUAAGUUAUGUAAGUUAUUUAAUUUAUGUAAGUUUAUAUAUAAGUUAUGUAGGCUAUGCAUUAUCUAAAUAAUGUAAGUUAUGUAAGUUAUGUAGGCCAUGUAUUAUGUUAUUAUAUAAGUUAUGCAAGUUUAUAUAUUGUAUGUUAUUUAAGUUAUGUAUAAGUUAUUAUAUUGUAUGUUAUUAUAUAAGUUAUUAUAUGAGAUUCUAUAUAUGUUUAUAUAUUGUAUGUUAUUUAAAUUAUGUAUUAUGUAAGUUUAUAUAUAAGUUAUGAUAUAUAUUAUUGAUAACUUUGAGUUAUGUAAGUUAUGAUAUGAUUGAUAAAUUUUGAAAAAAUUAUAGAUUUUAAAAAUAUAUAUAUUAAAAAUGUAUAUAAAUAUUUAUAAGAUAUGUAUGUUAUAUAUUAAAAAAUUUGGUUAUGCAAUUUAUUUAUUAUGUAAGUAUAUCACUUUUAUACUUCUUAUUUAUAAUUAUUUUUAAAAUUUAAAAAUUGUUUACUAAUAAAUUUGAAAUAUAGGUUAUAUAUCCAAUUUAAAUUUAUUCAACAAAUUAGUAAAUUUAUUAUUAAUAAAAUAUGAAUAUAGGUUAUAUGUCCAUAUUAAUAUAUGUUAUAUAUUAAUAUAUGUCCCAAAUUGAUUGCGUUUUUUGCACGAAAGGUUGCUUGCAUGGUUCAAAUUCAAGUAAAGGAAAAUAUUUUCAGCAAAGAAAACCGAACACAUGAAGUACAAUUUGAGAUUUAAGCAAAGACAAUUCGGUAUCCGUACAUGGUUGAUUUAGCAGCAAAAAACAAUAAAAUGCUGGAUCUUAGCAGUAAAAACAGAUGAGAAGGUACAAUCUAAUUAGCUGCAAAAACCAAUUAAAAUCCUUUAUAUCCUAAAUCCAAAACCAUUUAAAUUACAAAACCUAAAUUAUGUUUUGUAAACUUAUGCAUUAUUUAAUCAUUUGAAAUAUAUAUAUAAUUACAACGAACAAAAAUCAAAUCUGAACCUGAAACAAAUUUACUUGAACUAAAAACUUUAAAUCAAUUCAGUUCACAAUUGCAAUUAUAUUUGAUUUCAAUUUGGAUCUUUACAAACCAUGAGAAUACUGUAUAAUAUUUGCAAUUAUAUUCCAUAACCGAAAUUAAUUCAAACACUUAGUAGAAAGAUGGAGAAAACAACAUCUUGAAGACCAGAACAAUAACCAGAAAUAAAUACAAAAAGCAGCAACAUUAACCACAACGUGCAGCAAAACAAUAACUUGCAACAACAUUAACCCCUAACAUUAACCAGCAACAUUAAGCAGAACUUCCAGCAAAAAUGUUCACUUGCAGCAGCAUUAACUAAAUACCAAAUUAAAACAGUCCCAACUACAAAUAUACCAAAUAUAAAAAUAGUCCAAAAUCACAUGUAAAUUUACAAAACGAAAAAACAAAUAAAAUAAAGGAUAAACUAACCUUCUGGUUAUCUACCCUUUCUAUGUAUUGCUUCAAACCAGUGAGAGGUACCAAAUUUGCAGACUAGAUUGGUAAAACUAAAUUGUUGUAACCAAAGGAAAGAAAAAAUUAACUAAGAAAAAACUAAACUUGUUCAACUUCAUCACUAAAACAAAUUUUCAUGAACUUAAGUGAAUAAUCAACUGUCAACUUAUCUAAAUCAAAAUAUUAUAAUAGCGUAUUUUAUAUAUAAAAUUUUCUUAAAUUUUAUACUGAUUAAACCUAAAUAGAAAGACAAAACAAACGUCCUGACUCCUUUAAACAAAAAUAAUUAGAAAUACAAAACAAGGUUUAGAAUAUACUGCAAAAUCGUUUUUAAUUUCGAAACUUACUUUAACCAGAAACAAAUUAAAAAAAUAUAUCAAUACAAAAAUACUUAGGCAUUCGAAAGCAAAAAUGUUCAAUUGUCAAAAUGUUACUGCUUAAUACCCUAAACAAAAACAGUUACUGCUUAAUACCCUAAACAAAAUAAAUUGGUAAAGCUAGAAUUAAGAGAAAAUAAUUUCAUACCUUUACGAAGACGGAGAGAAAGUAAAUCGGGCCGGAUGUGAUUCCACGAUACUAAAAAAUGAGAUUGUUUUAUGUGUUCGGAAACCCUAAAACCAUGGACGAAAUGGAAUGUUAACGAUAUUGAACCCUAAACACAAAAAAAAGAGGGAAAUCAAACCGAUUCUUGCUUACCCAAAUACCUAUUCCACUGUUCGUCUUCCUCCAACGGCUGUGAAGAAUUAAACGCACUAAACUGACGAAACGAAGAACCGAAUAAACUAAAAGACUCCGUGAAUGUCUGGAAUUAGGGAAGUGGAGGAGAUUUCGAAAAGAAAUUAGGGAUUUGGAAGGGGAAGGGGAAGGAAGCUAAGUUAGGGGCACGAGUUUUAGGGUUCGAAAGGGGAAAAUAUGUCACGCCAAGCAGAACGACGACGUUCUGAAUAACUGAAAACGACAGCGUCUUAUUUCAACCAGAAUGAAAACUUGCGGCGUUUUUUACCCUAGCGCCACUAACGCCCUUAAUGUGCAAGACAAAACGACAACGUUUUUGUUUAAACUACAACAAAACUUUGCGGCGUUUUAAUCAUAACGCCGCUAAUGCUCACAUUUAGUGGCGUUUUCUUAUAAACGCCACUAAUAAUACACCAAAAUGGCCUCGUAUCAAUAAAUGUUAAAACAUUUUUGCGGUGUUUGAACCUAAGCGCCACUAAAUAUAAAUCAAAACGCAGUCGCUUCAUCAACACUUACCUCAAACCCUUGGCGGUUUCUAAAAAAUGCCACUAAUAACAUUUACAAAACGGUAGCAUUUCUAUAAAUGUUAGAACAAUUUCGUGGCGUUUUUAGUAAAGCGCCACUAACUAUAAGCUCAAACGAAGUCGUUUCCCCAACAGUUAACUCAACCUUGUGGCGUUUUCAUAAAAACGCCACAAAUACCAUAGACAAAACGACAACAUUUCAAUAAACAUAAUUACAAUUUUGCGGCAUUUUAUACAAAGUGCCACUAAUAGCAAUGUAAAACGGCGCAGUUUUAUUAACUCCUAAUACAACCUUGCUGCAUUUUGUUAAUGCGCCACUAAUAGAGAAUAACAAAACGACUCCGUUCCCCUUCCCAGUUACAGUAUUUUGUGGCGUUUAUGGAUAAGCGCCGCUAAUGCUGCUGCAAGUCCCACAGGAAACGACGCCGUUUUACUUAACGUUAAAAUACUUUUUCAGUGUUUUUACGUAAACGCCGCUAAAGCCUUUCUUAACAAAAAAUAUUUAAAAUUUCAACAAAAUUUAAAAAUAUUUAUAAUUUAUUUUAAAUUAUAUCUACGCUAAUAAUAGAAUACAAAUAUACUACCACGUGAGUUGUCAAAUUAGUGUCAUCCAAGAUUGAAGUUAAAUUGAUCCAAAAUUAAAACCAAAGUUAUAAAAUGGAUAAAUUAAUAAUAAAUAAAAGGAGAGAAUAAUACAUUUUAAAAAAAAUAAAUUCCCGUUUUAAAAAAUAAAUCCAUCAAUCUAUUUUUGUGUUGAAUAAAUAUAAAUAUUUAUGUAUGCAAUAUAUAAAUAAAAAAUGAUGUUAAUUAUAUCAAUAAUUGUCUUAUUAUUUUACAAGAUUUCGAUCAAAUUAAAGUUCAUGUACGUAUACAAUUUAACAUUGAAUCAUUCUUAAUGUACCCUUUUGGGAUUUAACCCAUUUUGAUAUAUAUAUAUAUAUAUAUUAAAAUGAUAAUUUAUAUUUAUCUUAUUUAGAUUUAUAUUCUAAAAAAUCCAAAAUUAAACCCUAAACCCGUGACCCGUAACCCGUAACCCUAAACCUAUUUUGGUGCAGUUAACCCAGAAACUACAAACAACAACAACCAAACCCCAAAAUCCAACUCCCACUGUACCAUAAACCUUCUUAAAUCAUAAAUUCUAAACAUUAAACCCCAAAUCUCAAACCAUAAAAGUCAAAACCAAAAAUCCCAAACCGUAAUAUUCCUAAACCAUAUUUUUGGGAAAUUGUGUGGCCAAUGUUACUGUAUACAAAACAUAUAUUUUAUAUUCAUAUAUUAAAUUGCAUGAAUCUUUAGUAAAAUCUAAAUGUUCUUCAAAUUUUAAAUAGUAUCCUUAAACCCAAAACCCAAACUCUAACACAUAAACUAUUAACCCAAAAUAAUAAACAUUAAAAUGUAAUCCCUAAAACUCUAAACCAUAGACAUUAAAUCAUAUAUUCUAUAACGUAAACCCUAAAAUAAAAUAAAAAUUUUGCAGCGCCACUAAAGUUCCCAACAGGCCUAACCUAAUCCUGAAUCUUUAAACCCUAAAUCACUAACUCUUAACUUCUAACCCUUAACCCCAAACCACUAACCCCUAACUACUAACACCUAAAUUACCUUAUUUAAUAUAUAAAUUAAAAAUAUUAAUUAAUCAAAACCCUAAAUCCUAACCCGAAUCCCUAACCCCUCACCCUUAAACCUUAUUUCAUAAAAAUUAUAACACACUAAUUAAUUUAAACCCUAAAUCCUAAAUUGACACUGAAUCCAUAAACCUUAAAUCCCUAACUCUUAAUCUCUAACCCCUAAAUUACAACCCUUAAACCAGAAUCCCUAAUCCAUAAUCCCUAAUUCCAUAAUCUAUAAACGUUAAAAUUGUAACUCUUAAACCGGCCUUAAAUCCUAAAUUAACCAUAUACCCUAAACUAUAUAUAUUAAACCUUAAACUAUAAUGAAGUACUAAAAAUGGCACAGUUUUGGUUAACAAUUUAGCGGCGCAUUCUCUAAAGCGCCACUAAAACCUGAUAUAUAGCGGCGUUCUCAAAUAAGCACCGCUAAUGCAGCUAUAGGUCAAGCCAGAAUGGUGCGUUUUGGUCAAAACCUUUGCGGCGCUUCAGUAUAAACGCCACUAAUAGCUGAUAUCUAGCGGCGUUUAUAGCUAAGCGUCGCUCAUGGCGCAAUAGCUCAAGACGAAACGUUGCGUUUCGAUUUAAUAUUUUUCGGCGUUUUCAAUAACCGCCGCUAUUGGCUCUAUACCUGUAUAAGAUAUGUGGCGGCGUUUGUUAUAAUGCGUCACUAAUGAUGUGCUUCCGCGGCGUUUAGUGGCAAGCGCCACUAAUUCUUAUACACCUCAAGACCGAACGCUGCAUUUUGGUUGAGAUUUUUGCGGCGUUUUUCCUAGCGCCACUAAUUCUAAUCUACCUCAAGACUAAACGCUACAUUUUAGAUAAGAUAUUUUGCAACGCGCUCAGACAGGCGCCGCUAAUACUGUGCUUUAGCGGCGUGUUCUCCCAAACGCCACUAACUUUAUUCUACCUCAAGACCAAACGAUGCGUUUUGGUUAAGAUAUUUUGCGGCACUUCUUGUAAAACGCCGCUAAUAAUGUGCUUUAGCGGCGUGUUCUCCCAAGCGCCACUAACUCUAAUCUACCUCAAGACCAAACGGUGCAUUUUGGUUAAGAUCUUUUGCGGUGCUUUUUGUAAAACGCAGCUAAUACUGUUCUUUAGCGGCGCUUGCCCGUAAACGCCACUAAUUCUAAUAUACCUCAAAACCAAAUGCUGCGUUUUGGUUAAGGUAUUUUGCGGCGCUUACAAAUAAACGCCACUAAUGAUGUUCUUUUAUAGCGUUUUUUAAAAAAUGCCACUAGAUGUUCAGGUUUUUACGGCGUUUUAGAAUGAGCGCUGCUAAUGCUCGAUUAUUAGCAGCGUUUGUUUAUCAAACGCCACAAAAGACGCCGCUAAAAGCCUGUUUUGGUGUAGUGAAACAGUCCUAUUAUGAAUAAAAUGUUUAGAAUAUGUUUAUAUAAUAAAUCUAGACAUAUUCUACCAGUAGAAAUUUUUUAUAAAAUAAAUAGAGCUAUUUGCAAACAGCAAGCUCAAAUUCAGAAAAAUUUUUCUGAAUAUUUUUUACAAGCCUAUGUUUAUACUAAUGAUAUAGAUGAAAAUUUUCCAACUACAAAAUUUAGAUUGGAUCAUGAACCAUUUGAUAUAACAAGUAUUGAAUGGGGUUUUGCUAAAGAGAUAGUAGUACAAAAUUUUUCUUUUCAUCUUUUAAAAGAUUUUCCUGCAGUCGUUAAGUCGGUAUUACAAAACAUCAUAAACAAUGAUGAUUUUUAUUAGUAUUUUCAUAUUGAAAUUAGUAGUCUAAUUAGUAUAGCUGAAAAAGAAAAAUAUUAUCAGCCAUAUCAAAUAUGGAUUAUUCAAAGGAUGAUUGGAAGUCCCAUAUUAUCAGCUGUUAAAGAGGUCAAAGAACACUUGACAAAAAAAUAUUAACGAGUGUUACAAUGAUCUAAGUUAUUAUCAAACCCAAGCCGGGAUAGAUUUAAUAACAAAAGCCCAAGAUCUUCUUCAACAAGAAAUUUAUCAAUUAUGGACUGAUGGAAGGAGAAUAUUGGCAUAAUAUACUGGAAAUAUUGAGAAAGCAAGAGAUGAGGAAUCGUUACGACUAUUUAAAAAGAUAACUGAAAUGAAAAUAAAAGAUUUUCCAUCUGAUAUUCUAGAAGAAAUCAGAAAUACAUGGGAGACUUGGAAUUCAUCACCAAAACUUUCAUUCAAUUCAUUGCAUCUAGAUGAUAUCGAAGAGAUGAAUCUAAAUAAUAUCCAAGAAGGUUGAAGCCAAAAAGGCAGCCACGUGGAAAGAUCAAGAAGCAACUUGAAAAGAAGGGUAUCCACAUGUAAACAAAAAAGAUUGCAACUUGGAACUAUCAUCAAAUCAAUGAUGAUGAAAGCAAUGAUGAAAACAACCAUGAUGUAAUGAAAGCAACCAUUAAAUAUGUAAUCAAUGAUGGAAACAAACCAUUAAAGAUAACAGGCUAUUCGAUGGUGACGUAAUCAAUGAUGGAAGCAACCAUUAAUGAUGAUAGGCUAAUAUUCAAUGACAUGGAAGAAACUAUCAAUUCAACUAUGCAACGUGAAAGCAACCAUGUUUAUACAAUAAAAGAAGUAAUAAGACAAAUGCGACAUGGAAGGAAUCACAUCCAUGAAGAGACAAGAUCCUUAUCAGAAACACUGUGUGGGAUUCAAAGAAAAAUUGUAUAGAGUUUUGUAAUUCAACUAUAAAUAGAUAGGAGAGAUCAAUUGUAUAGGCAUCUUUUUUUUUAUGAAUCAUAACUUAGCUUUCUUUUCUUUUUACUUUCUCUUUGUAAAAACUUUAAUCUACUUUUGUAAUAUCCUUUUAGCCUUCCGCUCAAACUCUUGUACUCUAAAACCCUUUUACUUUGGAAUCUGAUAUUCCUUCCAUCGCGAUGGAGGAGGAGAUGGCUGGAUUGAAUAUUGAUGAUAGAGAAGAGGAGGCGCUGAAUCUUCCGUCUACAGUGGGAUCUCAAAAUUCAGCUUAUGAACAAUGGCAAAUUUGUGGUAUAUUUUCAAUUUUUUUCAUGAAUUGGAUAUUGAAAAGGUAAUUAGUGGGUUCCUUUGAUUUAUGCAUCCUUUUGGAUUCAGAUUUAUGAUCUCCCCCAGGCUAUCAUUUGGAAAAUGUGGUGAUUCAAUUGGGAGAUUUUAUUUGUGGUUUCUUGGAAUAUGAUUCAACGGGUUUGAGAAACUACAUGCGAAUACAGGUAAAAGUGGACAUUAGAAGGCUUUUGAAGUGCAGAAAGAAAAUAAUGAUUUCUACUUUGAAGUCUACUUAUGCGAAUAUGAGAGACUUACUCUUUUUUGUUUCUUAUGUGGGUGUUUGGGUCACAAUGACAAAUUUUAUCCUAUAACGCUGAAUUUGGAGUCAAAUGUCUUGGAAUAUGGAUGAGAUAUAUCUUUGACGGCUAAAUCAAGGAGAGCUACCACAACAAUCCUAUUUUGGGAUUCAAUCUAGAAGGAAUACAAAAGAGCAAGGAGGUUGAUUAUGAGGGGUUUUGUAGGGGAAAGGAGGGUGGAAAUGGAACAUGAUUUGGAUGAUAAUCCAAUUGAUAAUGGAGACAGAAAGAAUAGACUAUAGAUGGAAAUUAUGGAUGCCAGUGUUUAUAGUCAGACCGAUUUGCUGGUAACCAAUGAGGAACGAAACAUAGUUCCAUUUCAGAUAAGAUUGGUUGCUGCUAGGAGGCAAACCGACCGGUCGCAAUGAAACUUCUAAGCUAGAAUGUCCGCAAUUUGGGGAAUUCGCAGGCAAUUUGAAGACUUCGAAAAAUGUUGAAGAUUUAUAAGCCCCACAUGGUCUUCUUUAUAAAGACAAAGAUGAAUAGAAUUAGAAUGGAACGUGUUCGAAAAAGAUAUGGUUUUCAUAAUGGAAUAGAUGUUCCGACUAAGCGAUCCCAAAGAGGUCUUAGUCUUACAUGGAAUGGGAACUAUUUGGUUUAGAUGAGAAGUUAUUCAAAUAAGCAUAUAGAUGUGGAGAUCAAUGAGAGUGGUGAUAAUAGAAAGUGGAGAUUUACAUUGUUUUACUAGGAUCUGAUGCUUUCGAAUAGACAAGAAUCGUGGAAUUUAUUACAACAGUUGAGAAUAAAUUGUGAAAAGCCAUGGUGUGUGUAUUUCAAUUUUAAUGAAAUUCUAUAUGCCAAUUGACCGCCUCCAGGCGUACCAACGUCCAAAGUAGAAAUCCUGCACAAAAGAUGUGAAAAGCGGUAUCCGCAAGUAUACGUGUCAAGUUGUAAUAUAGUUACAACGGAAUCUGUAAGUACUCUGAGGAUCAUACCCAAGGCAAGCGAGCACUAAAUUAUUUCUAAUCUAAACAUAAAUAGGUCUAAUUAGUAAUUUAAUCGAAUUAUAUUACGAAGAAUUAAAAGAAUGAGCUUGAUAAACUAUACUAAAAAUAAGAAAGCAAAUAAAAGAAAAGUAAAUAAACAAAAAAUGAGAAAUCAAAUAAUCAAAUAUGUAUCAAAUAGGGGCAUGAAUGAUUAGCUUGCUUUAGUAAUCAUAAUUAAUCAUCGUUUCGAGUUUUCUUUUUCAAUCAACUAGUCAAUACCCCAAUAAGAUCUUUCGAUUUUUCCACUGAAGUACUAUGUCGACAAGAACUACUUAUCUUCCGACCUUACAGUUCAGACCGAUUCAAUGUUAAGGCGUUCAGAGAUAGGUCAUACCAAAUUUGGGUUAAUUCCCACCUUGAUGACUUCCUAGGGUUGUCAAACCUAGGGUAUAGAUUCUUCCUUUCUUGAAUAGUUGAUCUGUUAAGAAAUCCCUACAAAACAGUUAAUUAUUUAUACCUCCACUCGCUAAUCCCCCUAAGAGGAUUAGUUCCUCAUGGAUCUAAUAAAUGAUAUAGACUUGAUGGAAAGAAUGAACAUAAAGAACAAUUCAAGAAUAGAGUUUAGAAUAAGCCUGAUUUGUAUUUAAAUUAGGCGCAGAAUCCCUACAGAGUUUGACAGUAAUUCCAUAAUAUGAUUUUCCCACAAAAGUAAAUAACAAUAACAGAAAUAAAAUCUAAAACCUAAGAAAAGAGAAAAACUAAAGACUGAAUUGAAAGAGAAAACUAUCUAAUUUAAAAAGUCUUUUUAACAUGUGCUAAAUGAGCUUAUUUAUAAACUUUAGGGUGACUGUCGUCCUUAACCCUAGGCCAACUAUCAUCAUUGUGCUUAACAUUUGAUUGUGUGGACCAAAACACCUCUGGCUCAUAAUUAUUUCCCAUACAGAGGCGAUGUUGCGACACGCCAUGUCCUGUAUCGCGACAUUGUGGGCAGUACGCUCAACUUUAGGGGUAUGUCGCGAUAUCCUUAGACCAUGUUGCGACAUUAAACGCAGUCUUGGAAUUCUUCUAUUCUGCUCCCUAUGUUACAACUUCAAAUGCUUCUAUUGCAACCUAACAACCAGUAUUGAGUUAGUACACCUUCUAAUGGUCUCUUGGACACUCACAAAGUAAAUUAGCUCACUCGUAGGCCUCAUUUGGCCCCUAAGGUUAAUAAAAGACUCAAAUUACACAUUUUAUUAAACUUAACUAAACUACAAAAACGAAAUUAAAACUUAACUAAAAUUCUUAUGUUUAAGCUCUUAAAGUGCGAAAACUAGCUUGAUCUACUACAUCGAAUUACGACAGAUCACCAAUGAAAAGGUGGGAGGGGUAAUAAUGGAGUAGCGACGUAUGGAGGAUUUUUGAAAGGCCUUAUCUGAUUGCGACUUGUUAGAUAUGGGUUUUUUGGAGCCUUGGUUUACUUGGGAAAGGGGGAAUCAGGCUGAAACGAAUAUAAUGGACAAACUAGAUAAGGGAGUAGCAAACGUGGAAUGGAUGUAUUUAUUUUUAAAAUUCUCAGUUAGUCACCUACCCCAUUAUUUUUCUAACCACUUCCCUCUUCUUAUCCAAAUAGGUCAAAGGGAAAGAUGGAUAGGUUAAAGAAGGUUCAGAUUUGAAGCUUCAUGGACAUUGGAGGAUUCUUGUGAGAAGGAGGUUAAAAGGAUUUGUGAAGUGAGUUUGGGGAAUCUUUUCGAAAAAUUGGAGAGUAUUUGGAAGGGAUUACAAAGUUGGGAAAAACACCUUAAGGAGAGACGAGUUGGAAAAAAUGAGCCUUAUAAAAUGGUUAGAGGAAUUGGAUGGUCUCGAAAGGGAUGACGAUAUUCUUAUGGAGUUAAUUGAUGCCAAGAUACAAUUAAACUUUGAGACAGAGAUUAAGGAGAUUUACUGGAAGCAAAGAGCACAAGCCAACUGGCUGAAACAAUGUGAUAUAAAUACAACCUUCUUUCACAUCUUUGCAUCUCAACGAAAAUGGAUGAAUAAAAUUAGGGGUCUUGAGAAUGAUUAGAGUGAGAUUAUGACAGACGAAUUUCAAAACUAGGGCAACUGAGAAAUUUGAUGAAUUUCAGACCGAUCAACCUUUGUAUGGUUUUAUACAAAAUUAACUAAAAAAUUGUGGUGAAUAGACUUCAGAAGGUGAUAGAUUGUUGUAUUGAUGAAGCCUAGAGCCCUUUUGUUUUGGGAUGUUUAAUAAUUGACAACGUACUCAUUGCUGAUGCAAUUCUUCAUACAUUAAAGCAGAAAAAUUUGGGCAGGAAAGGUCUUAUGGCAUUGAAAUUGGACAUGAACAAAGCUUAUAAUCGUGUUGAAUGAGAAUCUUUUAGAAGAAUAAUGAGUAAAAUGGGCUUUGCUGUGUCGUGGGUCCAAUUUGUCAUGUAGUGUGUUAGCACCAUUUCCUAUUUGGUUGUUUUGAAUGGUAAUGUAGGUGAGGUGCUUAAACCAGGAAGAGGUUUACGUUAGGGCGAUCCAUUAAAGUCAGUUUUUAUUCUUAAUUUGUUGUGAAUGGCUCUCGACACCCUUGAGAUUAGGAGUUAAGGAAGGGAAAGUGAGAGGGGUGAGUGCAAGUAAAAGAGGACCAAAUAUUUCUCAUCUACUAUUUGCAUAUGAUUCAUCAUAUUUGGAGAAGCUACUAACAGAGGCAUUGAUAUCCUUAAGAAUAUUCUAAAGGAGUAUGAAGAAUGCUCAAGCCAGUGUGUUAAUUAUGAAAAAUUGACCGCCUCCAGACGUACUAACAUCCAGAGUAGAAAUCUACACAUAAUAUAUAAAAAGGUGGUAUCCGUAAGUAUACAGGUCAGGUUGUAAUAUAGUUACAACGGAGUAGGCGAGUACUCUGAGGAUUGUACCCAAGAGAGGUGAGCACUAAAUUAAUUAUAACCUAACCAGAAAUAGUUCUAAUUAGUACUUGAAACGAAUUAUAUUACGAUGAAAUAAAAAGAAAGGUUUUUUUAAUCUAUGCUAAUAAUAAAAGAAAGAAAAGAAAUAAAUCAUGAGAAAUCAAAUAAUAGAAUAUAUCAACUCUGGGCAUAGGUGAUUAGCUCACUUCAAUAAUCAUAAUCAAUUAUAUCUCCAGGUUUUCUUGUUCAAUCAACUAGUCAAUAUCCCAGCAGGAUCUUCCAAUCUUCCACUAGAAUAACAGUUCAACAAGAACUACUUGUCUCUCGACCUUACAGUCUAGAUCGGUUCAAUGUUAAGGUGUUCAUGGAUAUGCCAUUCCAAAUUUGGGUUAAUUCCCACCUUAAUGACUUCAUAGCGUUUUCAGGCAUGGGGUUUAUGUUCUUCCUUUCCUGAACAGCUGAUCUGCUAAGUGAACCUUACAAAAUAGUUAAUUAAUCAUACCUCUACUAGCGAAUCCCCCACAUGAGGAUUAGUUCUCAUAGAUCCAAUAAACAAAAUAAACUUGAUAGAAAGAGUAUACAUGAAUAAUAAUUUAAGAUUAUAAAGUUUAUAAGAAGCCUGAUUUAUAUUAGAAUUAAAUGCAGAAUCCUCACAGAGGUUGAUUAUGUUUCACAAAUUUGAUUUCUUCCACAAAAUCAAAUAACAAAAACUAAAAUAAUCCUAAAGCCUAAGAAGAGAAAAACUAAAGACUAAAUCUAAAAAGAAAAUUAUACAAUACGAAAGCUGUCCAUAACAUGUGUUAAAUGAGCCUAUUUAUAAAAUUUAGAGUGGUCAUCGUCUUCAACCCUAAGUCAGAUGUCGUUCUCGUGCUUAAAAUUUAAUUGUGCGGGCCAAAAUGCUCUUAGCUCGUAAUUAUUUCUUGUAUAGAGGUAAUGUUGUGACACACCAGGUCCUGUGUCGCGACAUUGAAGGCUGUAACACCCCUAACUUGUAUCUGUCACUAAAUUAGGGUUACAGAGUAUUAUCGAUCAACUGGAAACUUUAAAACAUCAUAACAUUCAAUAAAUUCAAUUAUAUCAUAAACUAUUCAUUCACAUCCAUUUCGUCCCUAAAUCGAUCCCCUGAGGCCAUAAAAAUAGCUUGGGAGCAAUUCGAGACUAAUUUGAAACAAAUCAGGAAGUUUAGGAAAAACACGUAAAAAUUAGAAACAGGGCACACACGGCCGUAUGGCUAGGCUGUGUGCCUCAAACGGCUGUAUCACAUGCCCAUGUCCCCAACCGUGUAACUCUCUCAGUAGGGUCACACAGCUGUGUCACAUGCUCAUGUGCCAAGCCGUGUAACUCUCUGAGUUGCCCCACACGCUUGUGUGCCAAGCCAUGUGCUAGGCGAUGUACCUUACUGGCUUGAAUACUAAGGAGCUUUCAGAUGACACAUGGUUGUGUCACCAGGCUGUGUGCCUCACACGGCUGAGUCACACGCCCAUGUCUCAAGUAGUGUGGACCCAAAAUUACCCAAAAAUUCAACCUAUCUCAAAAUCAUUCCAUGCACAACUUUUCAACCCAUUUAUGCACACCUUAAAGAACCUAAGCAUCACCCAACAGACAUCAAAAUACCAUUUCAAAUCCUAAUUUAAAUUAAUCAAUAUGUCAUUCAAAGGCACCACAUUUCAUCAAAAUAUUUCUAACCAAAGCAAAGCAAUUUAACUACAUUUCAAGCAUGAACUUGGUUCUUUUAGCUACCACCACAUAACAAUCAACUUAACCAUUCACUUUUUCUUUACUUCAAACAUACCAUAUAAGGCUUAUAUUCCAAGUGUUUACAAUGACCAAAGGACUCAAGCUUAUCAAAGUAUUUAAAAUCUAUCAAACAAGACUUAAGUUCAAAAGCAUAUUUGUACCAAGAUGAUCAUAAACACAUUCAAGAGCUUUUACUAUUCAAGGUCCUUUACAUGCCAUAUAACCAAAAUAUCCAAAAUCUACAAUAUUAGUCCUUGGGAUAGUGUGCCUCUUUCAGUUUGAUCCGAUCUCCCAACUGGAAAAAGAAAAAAAUCUACAAACAAAGAACAAAUAGAGGUGAGCUUACUUAAAGCUUAAUAAGUUUGUAAAAAUUAACGAUAGAGCUUACCACAAGUUAUCUUAACAACACAACUGAAUAACAACUAAGAUAAAUCUUCGACGUUCAUAAUCUACCACAGAUAAUAGUCACUCAUUUCAUUAAAUCAAUUUGAUCAGAUAACAUAGCUUGAAAUUUCAGAAAUGCAAAGUAUCAUUCAUUCAGCUAGAUCCCAGAUUAUUGAUCGUUCCACAAUGCUGGUCACACAAGCUAUAGAGGAUCUGCAACAUAUGCAGGACCUCAACCAUUGCUACGGUUCAUUCAUUAGAACAGAGCAUUUAGCCUUUUUCACUAAAUCUUGAUACUGCUCAUACAAGCUGUCAAGAAUCCACAACUUAUGCAGGAUUCUCAACCAUCGGAUUAGUCCAUAUCGUUAGAAUAGAUUUACGUAAUCCUUUCGUCACUUCACGUCCCGGCCCAAGGCCUAAUCAUCUUAACUAUUCGUUUUACCAUCUCUCAUUUUGAUCCAAUAAGCUUAGAAAUUCUCCAACUUAGAUUUUCGUAAUUUUAUUGGAAGAAACACCAAUUAUAAGAUUUAGAAAUACAAACUUACCGGCUGAUUCGCAGUAAUAGCCAAAGUACUGGACUACUCCUCUACCUUGUCUUUUCCUCGGUCUUUCACAAGUUCAUGCUCUUAAACAAUAGUUUCAUUUAAUUAACUAAAUCCAACAGUAAAACUAACUAGUUUUAUGCAAUUAAGUCCUUUUACUACUUUACAAAAUUACCCUCAACUUUUUAUUUUUAUUCAAUUUAAUCCCUUGGCCUUAAUCAUGCAAAUUAUCCAUUUUUAUUGAAAACCCAAUCUAAUCAAAUUUCAAUAGCUCCCAUUACAACCCAUUUUUGUAAUAAUUACACAUCAAGUCCUUGGGUUUAUAAUACUUUAGCAAUUUAGUCCCUAAACAUUAAAUUCAUCAAAAAUUACUUUACUAAAUAACCAAAUAUAACUUCAAAGCUUAAUAUUACUCCAUAAAAUUUAAAGAACAACUCUAAAUCAAAAAUGGCACAAUCCAAAACAUUUGACAGUUUCACAAAUUCAUCCUCGAGUUCGCUAGAUUAAGCUAAUACGAACCCAAAAACAUAAAAAUUACUAAAAACGGGCUAGGAUUCAUCUACAAACCAAAGCUUCAAAGUUGAAAACUAUGGAAACCCUAGUUUCCUUGUGUGCCAUGGAGAAGAUGAGCACAAUAAAGCAAUUACCUUAUUUAUUUUUCUUUACUUUAUUUUAUAUACUUAGGUUUUUUUUUAAAUAUAUCAACUUUCAUAAUUAAUUUUUAAUUAACUAUUAUUAGGCCUAAUUAAACUUAUCCACAUGUGUAUAUCAUCAUUUAAAUCCACUAAUUUAACUCUCAUAGGUUAAAUUAUUCAUUUGGUCCCUUUAAUUUAUAAACUCUACUUUUUACAACCUUUACAAUUCGGUCCUUUUUACUUAUUAACUAUCUAAAUGAUAAAAUUUAUUAACCAAAAUUUCAUACUAUACUAGUGAUCUUAUAAAUAUUAAAUAAUUAAUAUUUACUAAUUGACACGUCAGAUUCGUGGUCGCAAAAAUAUUAUUUCUGACACCACUGAAAAAGGGGUUGUUACAAAGGCAGUAUGCUUCAUCUUCAGGGGUGUGUCGCGACAUCUUCAGGUUGUGUCAUGACACCAAAGAUAGUCUUGGAAUUCUUCUAUUCUGCUCCCUAUGUUGCGACAUCCAACUCUCCGUGUUGCAACAUAGUAACCAAUAUCGAGUUAGCAUGCCUUCUAAUAGUAUAUUGCAUGCUCACGAAGUAUAUUAGCUCACCCUUAGGCCUCAUUUGGCCCCGAAGAUUAAAAAAACACUCAAAUUAUGCAUUUUAUUGAAUUUAGCUAAACUUACGAAAAUGUAAUUAAAACUUAACUAAAAUGUUUGUGUUCAAGCUCCUAAAGUUCGAAAACUAGUUUAAUCUACUACACCAAAUUACGGUAGAUCAAACUCCCCCACACUUAAGUCAUUGCUUGUCCUCAAGAAAAAAAAUAAAAAAUUGAAAAUGAAUAGACGACCAUUGAGCAAGUAUGGUACAUUUGUUUAGCUUUGGAGUACAUGAGUUAGUAUUUCAUAUACAUACAUAAUAUUGGCAUGAUAUGUAGCUGACUUGCCACUUUUGAUAUCAAACACCUAAGUUUAGUAUAUUUCAAAGCAUACUAGCAUUAAGGGUCUCAAAUGUAGGGAUCCAUCAAUAUAUUAUACAGGUAAUUUGGUUAUCCUAGUAGAAUACAAACAAUCAUAAUUGCAAUUUUUCAGUAUGAUUUCAAAUUGUGAAUAAAUCCACCAAGAUCACAUAGGGCUUUUCGUCUUGUAACGUUCUGAGGCUUAAGACAAGUAUGGAAUUCAAGAAUAGUAAGCAUCAAAUAGUUUCAAGCACAAAAAUAGUUUCGCACAUCAUAUUAUCCCCUAUUCUCCCCCUUAGUGACCCUUUCCCACUCACCCCAAUCUUUCUUCUUCUCUCACCUUCCUUAUGUCUCCUUAUAGGAAAUCUCAGCAUCAUACAACAACUACGGAUAGCUCAUGAGUUUUUGUACAAUAAUGAAUUAGUUUUUCUAUUGUUUUAGCUUUAUCAUUUUUCUUUCUUUUUCACGGUACCUCAUUCACAAAUGCCUUCAUUUUUCAGAUACUUUUUCUACUCGUGUAAUUUCCUUUCUGAAUAUUUUUCUUUUUGCACUUUUAAGUUAACCUAUAAUCAAUAUGCUCCACUGAUCUUUCCUAUCGCUCUAUUUUUACAAAAUCACUGUAAUGUAUCUACUUAACCCACAAUAUGUAUGGCCAGACGUCUAUAAUCAUGUAGUUCAGGACCAAAGAAAAGGGUAAGGACAAAUUAUUGUUUUUAGCUCAAGUUUUGUAUAUGGGUUCAUCAAGAAGUGUUUUCUGGCUCAAAAUAGGUACUAAGGAUUAAUAAAUAGGGUUAGCUUUUUGGCUCUGGGUGUAUACGAAAUAAUGCCUCAGGUCAUCCUUAGGUCAAUGUUCACAAAUUUAGUCAACCAAACAAUCACAAAUUCAAAAAUGUAUCAUUCAUAUUAGCAUACUCGUUUCCUUGUAUUCUCUAUAUCAUUUAGUACAUUCAAUUGCUUAAUGUAUAUUUACAAUGUAAUAUAUAGAACUUAGUAAAAUAAUAAUUUAAAAAAAUCACCUAUCAUCAUGCCAAAUUUACCGUAAAUACAAUCAACCUACGCAUAUGCUCCUAACCAAUCACUUGCAUUUCUACAAGCUAAAGCACACAAUUGAAAAGUAAUAUAAAAAAAAGCAUACAAAUUUAAACAAAUUCUCUAUGUUACCCCCUACACUUUAGAUAACACAUUGUCCCCAAUGUGUAGCCCCGUAAAAGAUAAGGAAAGAAUUACUCGAUUAACCAUGAUGGUUUUGUGAGCUAUUGGUGGAUGUUUCCUCUUUCGAUCAUUGACAACUCAAAAUUGUUAUGCAUCUGCUAUGUGGGGUUCCUACGCAGAAAAUUUAAACAAAACACCAAACAACUAAUAAUCUACUAUUACUCCAAUUCUUAACAAUUUAAAUAAAUAAAAAAUCAUCCCAAAUUUCAUACAAUCUUUAAAAACAAAAAUUAGAAGUUCAGUCAUCCUCCUCAAAAUCCAUCUCAUCAUGCUCCUCCCCCUCCUCAGUUCAUUCUUCCUUUUCGUUCUCCUGCUCUUUUUCUUCCUACUCUAGAUGCAUCAGGUCUGACUACUGCGUCCACUAUAUCAUCCAAUCUAGCUUGGGAUGACUGCUCUCGUCAAUUUCUUGUUGAGUGGUCAAUUUUGCUUUCCUUUGAAACAAAGUUGUAACGACCAUCAUCUUUUGUUCGCAUUUGUUCCACUCCAUAACCUGUUUAGUCCGAAGCUCAAUGUACUGUGUAUACAAAGUGUCACCAAUUAUAAUCCAUGACAGUAUCAGAAGUGUAAAGUUUGUUUCAUCUAUCGCAGUGUCAAUCAAUGUCUAUCAAUUUUACUACAGUCUCAGUAUACACUAUUUUAAGUGUUUUCAGUAUAGUCUAUCUAUAGUAGUCUCAGUAUAUACUAUCUAUAGCAGUUUCAGGAUAUACUAUUAAAGACAGUUUCAGUUUAAACAAUUCACAAUUUCAGAAAACCUACUGGAUCGGCACCAGAGACUCGGUGCACCACACUUUCAGUAAAACCUCACAUCCACAGCCGAGUUUUGCAACCUGGCUCUGAUACCACUAAAUGUAACACCCCAAACUCGGCCUAGACGUUACGGCUGAAUCUAACGAUGUCACAGGGUAGUGGUUUUCGAAAAAUAUGUCGUCACUAAAUUUCCUUUUCUAUUUAACCAUAUUUUUCAUUACCUUAUGUUAAUUUCAAAUCGUGUCGUUUGUUUCCAAAACAUUAUUCAUUUAAAAAUCGUUAUUCAAUUUCAAAAUGUUUUUUUAUUGCGGAAGCUUUUAAACAGAUUGCGUAUUCGUGGUAUUAUUUAUAAAACAUUAAUUUCAUUUGAAACCCCAGUUUUAUUUAACACUAGAAAAUUUAAAUCAUAAAACCGUAUAAAAUCCAAAUUUAAACCAAAAUUCGUAAAUACCAUAAUUACAGUAAAAUACUCGUAAAUGAAAGUAAAAUCAUAAAUAGGUAAUAAACAGUGUAAAAGAAGUCGUGUGGCCACCACUGAGUCCUUCGCUGCACCGAUUUGUCUAUAUCUGGGGAUUACCUGUACAAAUUAAACAGAAGGGGUGAGUUUACGUAAACUCAGUGUGUAAUCCCUAUACAAAUGAACAGACAGUAAACAAAUAAUCACAGUCUCGGCUUAAGCCCAUUUCAGUAUCAAUAUCAGUCUAGUUUGGGUCUUAGCCUAUCUCAGCACAAAACAGUCAUGCAGUAGGGCUUUAGCCCAUCACAGUAUCAGUAGCAGUGGCAGAUAUGUAGUCACCAAACUCCUACCCAUCCAGCCUCUACACACCAUCUCCGUCCAACCCUGCACUCCAUGUGGGGAUAUAAUCAACCCACAUAUCCCUACACUCCAAGUAGUACCGAAUGUGACACUAGACAAUAGUUUGUAGCUGAGUUGCCAGAAAUUAGGCUCGAGGCCUUUCAGUACACUUCCUCCAAACAUUAUAAUCCCUCAACCCAAUGCAAUGCAAUGCAAUAUACAAAUAUGACAUGCUAUAUCAUAAUAUCACACAUGUAAACAAGGCAUACAGUAUCAAAUCAGUGGGACAUCAUCAUGCUUAAUCAUAUCAGUCAUACAUUCAUUUUAGUCAAUUAAGGGUCUAGGUAAACUUACCGACCUUACAGUAGGUUCACAGUCGACUUGGGCGACCCGUGCAACCUUAUCAGUCAAACAGUGAAAAUGGGCCUAUAAGAUCAUGAUGUUUGCCUGUGUGGGCCCACACGCCCAUGUGGCCCACAUGACCCAAAUUGGCCUUAGCCUCGUGAUCCAUUUUAAUGUAACCUGUGCUAGUUAAUUAUUCAUAUGUGUUUCCACUAUUUACCUAUAUGAUCCUUUAAAGCUGUCUACAUGAGUCACUGUUACUAAAUUAUUUUUAUUUUAAGCCACAAAAUUUCGACUUAAGAUCCACAAAUUUUCCUUGAAAUACUAGACUCAUAUAUAUUCUUACCAUAAAAUUUUAGAAAUUUUUGGUUUAGGCAAUAAGUACAGUUUAUCCUUUAAAGUUUCCCUUCUUCUGUUGUCUGACAGUUUCGACCUUUCUGCACUAAAAAUUAAUUAUCUUCUUGUACAGAAUUCAGAUGAUGUUUCUAUUUGUUUCUCUUCAAAAUAUACUUAUUCAAUAUUUUAAACAUAUAAAUUCUAACCCAUAGUCAUUUUUAUACAUUUUUUAAUAAUUUUGCCAAAGUCAGGACAUGGGAUUCUGAAAUCAUUCUGACCCUGUCUCACUAAAAUUCAAAUAUCUCAUAAUAUGAAAUUAUUUUGCUAACUUUGUUUCUUAUAUGAAAAAAUAGGCUCAAAUAUAUUUAAUCUCAUAUAUUUUUCAUCCUCUAAUUCAAUUUCCACAACUUAUGAUAAUUUUUCAAAUUUAUCCUACUGCUGCUAUCCAAACAGCAAGUAAUUUUAGCUUUUUACCGAAUCCCUUAUUUUUGUGUUUCGGGCACACAUCUGGUAUUGUUUCGCUGCAACUAUGCUCCCAAGCAAUCUAAGACUGGCAACGAACUGAAAACCCAAAUGUUCAAAUCUCUGCACAAGCACCUACCGCUACUUGAUUUUCACCUAAUCCGAAAGAACCAAAAUAACCCUUUUUCAGAAAACCAACCACAGAACGAGAUAAAGUGGAAAAAUGAAUACUUACCGAAUCGAGCAAGUUCAAUCGUCGAGCACGAUGGAGGCAUAAAAUAAGUCAAAAGAAAAGAGGGAGGAAACAAUGAAAAUUCGAUAGAAAAGGGGUGAAUAAAUGUCAGAAUGAUGGAAGAAAUUUUGGGGAAGAAGGAAUAGAAUUUUGGAUGAACCGAAAUUAGCAAAAAGAUUUUGAUAGAAUCCCAAAAUCCCUUAAUUAUCUCACCACUACUCCCAUUAUCCCUUAAUUUCCUCUACUAAUCCUACUAACCUACAACCACUCCAUAAUCCCACUUUGCCAAAAUACUCGUCCAUCACUGCGAAAAAAUAACGCUUAUGCUCCAGCAUGGAUUAGAACUCAAAACCUCAUUCAAUCAAACACUCCACUUAACCACUAGAGUAGCAGGCCCAUUCUGUUAUUUAUUACCAACUAUUAAACUUAAGCCCUUUAAGCCAGGUUAAGGCUUUAUUUAUAAAACUACUAAAAUUUGCCCAAGUCAUGGCUUGAACUUGGGACCUCCCACACACACCCAGAGCACUUAACCACUAAAGCUGACAGAUAUUUGUGUCACACAUUCACAAUACCCAAAAUUAAAAUUUUAGGACAUUACAAUUUUGGUGCACGAAAAUUGAAUACACAUUUUUGCUUCAGGGAACAUUAUUGCUUGAUUAAAGGAGGUUAGAAUAUCAAUACUUGGGUGACAUUUCCAUUCACCCCUCUCAUCUGUUAGGAAGUUUAUAAUGUAAUCCAUUUUUAUAUCUUGAAAAUAUUUAAAAUCAGUUUCUUCUAUAAAAAAAUUCAUAAAAUAGAGUAUUAUAAAAUUUACAAAUAAUCCGACGGGUAAUUCGUACUUCUUUCCCUCGCACUAGUAUUGUAUCCCAUGUGUGUCAUUUAGUUUUCUUAGACUCUUCGUCCCGUAAAUAUGAAUAGAAUUCUUGAACUAUGGGGACCAUAAUAGUCUUUUGGGAUUGUACAAAAAUGUUCGCAUCUAUGAUAUCUAAUUAGAGGUCAUAUCUCCUGACAUAGGAUCAUUAAUAGUUCAAACCCCUGUUCCUGAAUAAUAUUUUUCCUUAGAGUUCUAUAAAAUAUCUUCCAACAUUUAGAUUUGGGAAUUAGAGAAGUUUGGAGCCGUCGAUGGUUCCGGUUCAUUAGUUCUCUUAACUUUUCUUGGAGGCAUAUUCAAAUAUAUUCUUAGGCUAAUGACUAAUAACCUAACAAUCAAACCUUCCACUAGAAUAGUAAAAGAUAUAAAAUGAGUUAGGAACUCUUAACCUCAAAUGGAGAUUUGUCAGGUUCCUUGAGAAAUCUUGCUUCAGGGAACAUUUUUGCUUUAGGGAACAUUUUUGCUUGAUUAAAGGAGGUUAGAAUAUCAAUACUUGGGCGACAUUUCCAUUCACCCCUCUCAUCGUUAGGAAGUUUAUAAUGUUAUCCAUUUUUAUAUCUCGAAAAUAUUUAAAAUCAGUUUCCUCUCUAAAAAAAUUCAUAAAAUAGAGCAUUAUAAAAUUCACAAAUAAUCCGAAGGGUAAUUCGUAGUUAUUUCCCUCGCACUGGUAUUGUAUCCCAUGUGUGUCCUUUAGAUUUCUUAGACUCUUGGUCCCGUAAAGAUGAAUAGAAUUCCUGAACUAUGGGGACCACAAUAGCCUUUUGGGAUUGUACAAAAAUGUUCGCAUCUAUGAUAUCUAAUUAGAGGUCAUAUCUCCUGACAUAGGAUCAUUAACGGUUCAAACCCCUGUUCUUGAAUAAAUGUUUUUCCUUAGAGUUCUAUAAAAUAUCUUCCAACAUUUAGAUUCGGGAAAUUAGAGAACUUUGGAGCCAUCGAUGGUUCUUGUUCAAUAGUUCUCUUAACUUUUCUUGGAGGCAUAUUCAAAUAUAUUCUUAGGCUAAUGACUAAUAACCUAGCAAUCAAACCUUCCACUAGAAUAGUAAAUGCAAUAAAAUGAGUUAGAAACUCUUAACCUCAAAUGGAGAUUCAUCGGAUUCCCUUAAGAAAUCUUGUUGUUCUGUCUCUAAAUCCUUGCACCUAGUAAGUUUAUUCCUAAAAUAAGAUCUGCAAAACAAAGAUUUGGAAACAAAAAGAAAUUUGGAGGUUUUAAGAAUUUUAGGGGUUAAUAAAUUUAGAGGAUUUUGAGAGAAUUAAAGGUUAAAGAGGUUUUAAGUAAUGGUUUAGAGUGUUUGGGGGUUUUAAAAUAAAGACUUUUUUGAAACCAGAUAUAAUUAGGUUUAGUCAUUCGGGUUAUGCAAUUAGGUCGGGUAAACCUUAUAAAAAAUUACAGUGAUGUACGACAUAAAGGUACCAUGUCGCAACAUCUCUAUCAGAAUGUCAAUGUCACGACACACCCUGUAGUUUUGAAAAACUUGGGGAAGCUGUCUACCAUGUCAUGAUCUCAAGACGAUUUUCUUGAUUCCUUCGAUUCUGGCCUUGGUGUUGUGGCACGAGGUCGCCGUGUUGCAAUACCAAAUCUGUUUUAGCCUAAAAUUUCAAUCCCCAACAUGUCUCUGUUUUUAUAAAACAUCAAUUUGAUACAAAUUAAAAUCUACACUAAACAGUUAGUUAAAUAUACAAUAUGUUACAUUAAAUUUAAAAGUUACUCUAAUUUGUCACGUUUCAGUACCGGAUUCGUCCAACAGUCUUAAAGACGCUCUCCCAUUCUUGUUUCUCUCGGUAUUAGUCCAGCGUCCAUCAUGCUACUCCACCUUCUUCCGCUUGUCCUUUUCUCUAAACCUAAUUUUUAGACCUACACUAUUCACAAAAAAUACUUUCUCUGAUUCAGGGUAGUUAGGUUUAGUAAUAGAUAUUUCAUUACUGUAUUCUUCUAAUUUAUUCUUUUUCCCCCUCUAUUGAUAAUUGCAUUUGAAAGUUUUAGUUUUACCAUUGAUCUUCAUUUUUAACUUAUUCUUUUCCAAAUCAAUGAUUGAUUUUGAUGUUGCUAAGAAUGGUCUACCUAACAGAAUAGGUAUCUUACAGUCUUCCUCGAAGUCUAGAAUUAUAAAGUCCGGCGGGAAUAAAGCUGCGUACUUUAACUAACACGUCUUCUAAUACUUCUUUUGGUUGUACUGAAGAUUUGUCAGCCAGUUGUAGUGUGAUCUGAGUGUGAUUCAAAUUCCUAAUAUGAGUUUCUCAUAUACAGAUAAGGGCAUGAGAUUUAUACUUCCUAUCUCUAUGAGAAUUGUAAAACUUCUCAGAUCUUUUAGCUUUUGGGGAACCUGUCUAAAUAUAAUAGCACUACAAGAAGCAUUCAUAUUAACUUCUUUACCUACAUUAGUUUUCCUACGCCUAGAUAUGAUUUCUUUUAAAAUUUUAGCGUAUUUAGGGACUUUUUCAAUUAGUUUGAUCAAAGGCAAGUUAAUAUUUAAUGUUUUGAACAAGUUCAAGAAGCUUACAAACUCGUUGUUAUCCUGUCUUUGUUUCUCCUCUAAACUUGGUAGGAAUGGUAUCUUUACAACGGGAGGUUUUUUAACUGUCUCUCUCUCCGGUUCAGUUAUUGGUUCGGCUACUUUCUCUAGUUCUGGCUCAUCAACAGCUUCCAAGGAUCCUUUACUAAGAUCACUGGUACUACCCUUAGGUUCAUCUUAAGUAAGGUUCUCUAGGCUACUUAAUACUUUACGCGAUCGGAGUGCGAUUAAUUUCACAUGUUCAUUCCUUUCUCACUAAGGAUUAUCUUCGACGUUGCUAAGGAUACCUAUGUCAAUUUGUCUUUUUAUAUCACCCAUCAUGUUCACCAAUUGGCUCAUCUGAUCAUCAAGCUUAGUCAAUGUUUUUGCUGAGUUGGUGAACCCAGACUGCACAUGUUUCACGUCUGUCCUUAUUGACUGCAUUUCCCCCUCGAUUCGAUCCAAUCGUUGACCACAUACAGUAUGGUCAUUUGGGUUGGCCCUUUCCUGAGGUUUCUAUAGAUAAAGAGGUUAAUAGUUAGUGUUUUUUACUUGAUUAGAACUAGUCCCUUCUUGAUUUCCUCCUUAUCUCAGGUUUGGAUAUCAUUUCCAUCUAGGAUUGUAAGUAUUUAAAUAAGGAUUUCCACCCCUAUUCAUGAUAUAAUUCACAUCAUCGGUGGGAUUGAUAAUAUACUGUAAGAGCAGUUUGUCUCCUCCAUAUAUUGACGAUGCAUUAUUCUCAAAUUCUAUGUGGUUGAUUCUGUCCACUAACUAUUGAUGUCCGUCGUCCUCUUGGACAGCCUUUACUAUAGAUGGUUUUUAGCCAUAUAUGUAUUGUCCAGUUGGCCAUUGGCACGAAUUCAUCUCCAUAUUUUCUAUUAAUUCUUACGCAUCCUCGUACGUUUGGUUUAUUAAGGCACCUCCUAUAGCUUCAUCUAAUCCUGACCUUGUGUAUACAUCCACACCAUUGUAGAAAAUUUGCAGUCGUAACCAUUCGAGCAACCCGUGAUGUAGGCAUUUAUGAAUCAGUGUUUUAAAACGCUCUCAAGCUUCGUGAAAACUUUUUCCCUCUAAUUGUUUGGACAUGGAAAUUUUCCCUCUUAAUUAGAUCGUCUUACUAAUAGGGAAGAAUUUUUGUAGGAAAAUUUCUGCAAGUUCGUCCUAUGUUGUGAUAUAUCCUGGUGCCUAUGAAUCUAACCAACAUAAGGUGUUAUCAAUUAAUGAAAAGGGGCACAACCGAAUAUGAAUAACGUCACCAGUGACCUCAUUGUAUUUGAAGGUAUCAAAAAGCUGGAGGAACCGUUUUAAAUGUUGCCUCAAAUUUUCUAUCAUCAUUCCUUAAAACUGUAAAUUAUUCUGAAUCAUAGCUUACUUGUUCUCAAAAUUAUUGGUUGUGAUAGUUGGUCUCAUUAUACUCCCUUGGACCAUAUCCAGAUUUGGCAGUGCCUAUUCCCUCAGAGUCCUCUCAUUAUGCGCCAUGUUAAUGUUUGCCUAUAUCUAUGGUGGUGGAUCUUCUAAAUGUUAUUGUUAGCUUCGUCGAACAGUAGAUUCUCACGUGGUGGUAAAUUACUUAGAGCAGGUGGUUGGUUCUACAUUUGAUGUUGUUGUUGUUGCUAUCGAUGAUUCCUACGAAUUAUUCUUUUUGGAUUUGUGACUGGCUCUAUAGGUGUUCCCCUACUACGAGUCAUACAGUAAACCCAAAGAGAAAAUAUUAAUAAAAAUAAGGAAAUAAAAUCGUAUUUAUAAUCUAAAAAUUUCCUAAUUAUUCAAAUUAAACAAAAUUGGGCAUUAAUUUUGUGAUGAUCCAAGUUAAGUUCCAACCUAGUUACUGCCUUUUUUGAUAUUCGACACGAUAUUGUCUCCCUUGCUCAGCCAUUAGUUGUUCCAAUUCUUCAUAAACAUCUAAUAGCACCUUAUAACUAAUUUUCAUGAACUCUGGGAGUUGAUCCAUACAUUUAAUAUCCUAUCCAAAACACAAUUUCAUAGCUAAUUUUAGUAUUAAUUCGAUAAUUGAUCGUAAGUAUGCUUCAAAAAAUGAAUGUUAAUUUACAAUAAUUGAACAAGUCUAACCUUUAAAUUGCAUCUGUAUAGGGAAUAAGUUCAUCAUAUGUUGCAUAUGAAUCAUAUGUGUCAACUACGAUGGAUGCCAUGGCUAUUACUUUUGUCAUCAUCUUUCUAUCAAGAGAAUAUUCAGGCUUAAAGCACACUCCCAUGAUCCAAAAAUAACCUUCAACUACUCUAUCUCUUACAACUAGUAGUUUUCUUGUAAAAUCUAAAUCCUUUCACCACCUACCAGAAAACAACAGAAUUCAUACUCGUUAGGACAAUCUAAUACUCAUUUCAUUUAGUAGAAAAGAGUCUUGAAUUUUUUAUUCUAGUGAUUAAUCAUGACAACCUUUGCUAGAGAAAAAAGAUCCAAACACGUGCUUGCAAAUCUCACUUAGUUCUUUCCUAUGCAAAAGCUGUAACAAGUUGAAAUCUAUCUUUGCAAAUUCCAACAGUGCCUUAUUGUGGGAUUCAAUAUCCUGGUAUAUGGAAAUGUAUCGCCUAGCCUCGACCCUUGGCAAGCCUCUUCGGAUCGACUGCUUUAAGGCAUGAGUAACCUGUUCUGACAGAGGAUAGUCUAAAGUUGCAGCUGCAAGAGUUAGGUGAGCGGUGGUGAAAGAAAUAGCCUCAUCCAAUAUAUCUUCCCCAUGCACACGCAUAUAUGAAGCUUUGUCAGUCCUUGCACAUCAUUCCUCAAGGAUGACUUGAAAUUCCCUUCCUCAUCUUUGAAUUUGUAGAAUGCCUCUACUCAAACAGUAUCCAGAGUUAUCAUCAAACACAUUAUUGGAAUAUGAAAUCAAUAUUAAGAAAUUAUAAAGUUGAAGAUUUAAUUACCACAUGGAACAUCAAAGCCAGGCUCUCUAAGUAAUCGAAAUCGAAAAGAAGUAGUAUGGAGAUCAUUGUCAGCUUCAUUGUUUUCAUGGUAUAUAGCUUCUAAUGCAUCUUCAAUCUCUUUUUCAAAGUGGUAAUUCACACCCAAUCUUUGGACUGCAUCGAUCAAGGGCAACUUUCGGAUUGAAGUAUCCAUGGGCGCCACAAGAUCCUCCUCACUUCUUCUUUUAAUUCUUCAUAACAUAGUUUAGUUGUAGUAUCAACAUCCUGCUCCAAGAUGAAAAUAAACACAUGCACAAGUAAUAUUAAUAUAAUGGAUAAUCAAUAAUUAAAAUUUUAAAAAAAACGUAAUGGAUAAUCAAUUCAAGCCCUUUUGUUUGAAUGAAGAUUAGGGCUUGAAUUGAAAAAAUUGUUAUUUAUUUAUUAUGUUUAGAUAAUGACAUGUAAUUAGAAAAUGUAAAUGUGCGCCACUUAAAAGACUAACAAAAAUAGAAUAAUAAAACAUUGCAAAUUAGCCUAAACAUCUAAUCCAUCACCUUUUUUUAAAAUUUUAAUUACUGAUUAUCCAUUAUAAAAAUAUUACUUGUGCAUGUGUUUAUUUUCAUCUUGUAGCAGGAUAUUGAUACUACAAAUCAACUACGUUAUGAACAAUUAAAAGAAGAAGUGAGGAGGAUGCUUAUGGCGCCCAUGGAUACUUCAAUCCGAAAGUUGCCCCUGAUCGAUGCAAUCCAAAGAUUGGGUGUGAAUUAACACUUUGAAAAAGAGAUUGAAGAUGCAUUAGAAGCUAUAUACCAUGACAACAAUGAAGCUGACAAUGAUCUCCAUACUACUUCUCUUCGAUUUUGAUUACUUAGAGAGUACGGCUUUGAUGUUCCAUGUGGUAAUUAAAUCUUCAGCUUUAGAAUUUCUUAAUAAUUAUUUCAUAUUCCAAUAAUGUGUUUGAUGAUAACUCUGGAUACUGUUUGAGUAGAGGCAUUCUACAAAUUCAAAGAUGAGGAAGGGAAUUUCAAGUCAUCUCUGACGAAUGAUGUGCAAGGACUGUUGGAACUUUACGAAGUUUCCUAUAUGUGUGUACAUGGGGAAGAUAUAUUAGAUGAGGCUAUUUCUUUCACCACCACUCACCUAACUCUUGCAGCUGCAACUUUAGACUAUCCUCUGUCAGAACAGGUUACUCAUGCCUUAAAGCAGUCAAUCCAAAAAGGCUUACCAAGGGUCGAAGCUAGGCGAUACAUUUUCAUAUACCAGGAUAUUGAAUCCCACAAUAACAUUGUUGGAGUUUGCAAAUAUGGAUUUCAAUUUGUUACAGCUUUUGCAUAGGAAAGAGCUAAGUGAGAUUUGCAGGUAAAUGUUUGGAUCUUUUUUCUCUAGCAAAGGUUGUCCGGAUUAAUCACUAAAAUUAAAAAUUCAGCACUCUUUUCUACUAAAUGAAAUGAGUAUUAGAUUGUCCUAACGAGUAUGAAUUAUGUUGUUUUUUGGUAGGUGGUGGAAGGAUUUAGACUUUACAAGAAAACUACCAUUUGCAAGAGACAGAGUAGUUGAAGGUUAUUUUUGGAUCAUGGGAGUGUACUUUGAGCCUCAAUAUUCUCUUGACAGAAAGAUGAUAACAAAAGUAAUAGCCAUGGAAUCCAUCGUAGAUGACACUUAUGAUUCAUAUGCAACAUAUGAUGAACUCAUUCCUUAUACGGAUGCAAUUGAAAGGUUAGACUUGUUCAACUAUUGUAAAUUAACUUUCAUUUUCUGAAGUGUGCAUACGAUCAAUUAUCAAAUUAAUACUAAAAUUAGCUAUGAAAUUAUGUUUUAGAUGGGACAUUUAAUGUAUGGAUCAACUCCCAGAGUUCAUGAAAAUUAGUUAUAAGGCGCUAUUAGAUGUUUAUGAAGAAAUUUAACAAUUAAUGACCGAGCAAGGGAGACAAUAUCAUGUAGAAUAUGCAAAAAAGGCAGUACGUAGAUUGGCACUUAACUUGGAUCAUCAAAAACUUAAUGCCCAAUUUUGUUUAAUUUGAUAAGCAUGAAAAGAUUAAUAAGUAGUAACAAUUGUUGGGUUUUUUUAUGGCCAUACAGAUGAUACGACUUGCUCAAGCUUAUCUUUGGAAGCCAAAUAGACCCAUCAAAACUACAAACCAACAUUUGAGGAGUUUAGGGACAAUGCAUUACCGACCUCUAGCUAUGCCAUGCUUGCUAUAACAGCUUUCAUGGGCGUGGGAGAUGUUAUAACUCCAGAGACAUUUACUUGGGCAGCCGGUGACCCUAAGAUCAUUAAAGCCUCCACAAUAAUUUGUAGGUUCACGGAUGACAUUGCUGAGCACAAGUUCAAACAUAGGAGAGAAGAUGAUUGCUCAGCCAUUGAGUGUUAUAUAGAACAAUAUGGUGUGACAGCACAAGAGGCAUACUAUGGAUUCAACAAACAUAUAGAGAACUCAUGGAAGGAAAUUAAUAAAGAGUUCUUAAAACCAACAGAAAUACCAAUACCAGUUUUAAAUCGAAGUCUCAAUCUUGCAAGAGUUAGGGAUGUGCUUUAUAGAGAAGGGGAUGGCUACAUACAUGUUGGCAAAGCUCCGAAAGGUGGGAUCACUUCAUUACUGAUUGAACCUGUCCCACUUUGAAACUAUAUACCUAAGGUGGGAUCACUUCAUUAUUGACUUAUUUGUUUUCUUCAUUUAUUUUAUGUGAAAGGUUGUUAAAAUCGACUAUCUUUAUACUUAGUCCUUUUAUCAAGAUAAAUUUUAUUAUCUUUUUCAAAAACAAAAAAAAAGAAAUGAAAACAAAGAGUUUUUCGUCUUUUUAUCUUAGCUAUCUUUCUACUUUUCCAUUAUUGUAAUUAAAUCUUAUUUUUGUUUUCACCCAACUCUAAGCCUAAUAUCAAGAUUGAAAGUAGGAAACAUGAAAAGCCCACAAUCUUUUCUUGAAAAUAAAAAAAGAAAUGAUUAUGUUGAUCAAAUUAAAUAAAAACUAAAAAGUAGGGCAAAAUACAAUUAAAAGCCCCUUUUUUUCAAUAUUUACCGAAAUGGGCCCGGUAAAUAAUUAUUUACCGGAAUGGGCCCUUUUCCCCGAAAAUGCGUCCACAUCAGCGCGAUAUCAGGGUACGUGACAGCAAAAUGCUUCCUCAAGGGUGCGCUUUGUCCACGUGGACAGAAAGCGAGCUGAUGUGGACGCGUUUUGUUGCCACGUCAACGCAUCCCACGGGACGUGUUUUCCCCGCACGUGAAUAGUGCCAACUGUCAUUUUUUUUACCGUCGGCCCCCCAACGGUAAAAAAAACUAUAAAAACCCCCACCCCUUCAUUUUUUUCACAAAUUAAUCCUUUCUCAAUUAUUUUCUCAAUUUCCUCUCAAAUUGCUCUCAAUUUCCUUCCAAAUUUCUCUCAAAUCCAUAUUUAAUCUCAAUUUGCUCUCAAUUUCCUCUUAAAUCCCUAUUUUUAAUUAUUUUUAAAAAAUUAAUUUUUUUAUUUUUUUAAACCGUAAAAAUUUGUACGAAUUUAGCAAUGGCCGGAGAAUUGAUUCGUCUUGAUAACAACCACAUAUCCGUCAAACAAAUGAAAAUGGUAAGUGUUAAAUUUAUUUUUAAAUAUUAUUUAAGAUUUUUUAUUUAUGCAUUUUUAAAUAAUUAUUAAUUUAUUAUUUGUUAUAAAAGUCUGUAGAUCGGAUAUUGGAAUGCUAUAUCCGGAAUAUGCAUGGUCCUCCAUCACCGUUGGUAUAGAAUUACAUGCGGGAAGCGGGUUUUUGACACAUGGCGACGGUAGGCCGGGAUGCAAGUUGGACCCGAAACUUAUCAGUGCGUUGGUUGAGUGGUGGAGACCCGUGACGCACACAUUCCAUCUUCCAUGUGGAGAGUGCACUAUCACUUUGGAAGAUGUCAAUCUGUAAUUGGGAUUGCCGGUGGACGAGUACCCAGUCACCGGGUCUGUUCAAUCUGGCGAUUGGGGAGCAGUGUGCUACGAGCUUUUGAGCGCUAUUUCGGAGAAAAUUAAUGGUGGUCAGAUGGAGAUGCGCUGGUUACGAGACACAUUCCCGGAUCCGGAUGAUGAUUCAACUGAAGUAGAAAGAAUCUGAUAUGCUCGGGCAUACAUUCUUCAGAUAAUUGGAGGUUAUCUGAUGCCAAACUUGUCACGGAACCUCGUACAUCUAAGAUAGCUGCUGAAACUCGUUGAUUUUAAAGCAGCUGGUGAAUUAAGUUGGGGGUCUGCCGUGUUGGCAACAUUAUAUCGGGAGAUUGCCUGUCACUACUGCAGUCAUGGGCACAGUUUCGUUUUCCAUUUUUACGUCCUCGAGUGGACCACCCAUAUACAUUCCCACUCAUAACGAGGUAAAUUUUAUAUUAGACUUUACAAUUAUUACGUAGAUUUUUAAAAAUAAUAGCGUGCUAAAAAUUUAUUUAAUUAGGUGGAACUAUCCGGCAAAUUAUGCUCGAUUACCUACCUCUCUUAAAGAUAUACGACUUCUAUUAGACCAACGGUCAGAAGCACAAGUAAGUAUUAAAUAAAAUAGAUAUUUCUAUAAUGAGAUAGUUGAUUGGUAUUUAGUAUUUAGCACAUAACUAAUAUUUCUUUCAUGGCCAUAUAGUUUGAAUGGACACCAUACAAGGAUCCAGCGAUUCGGGCAGUAAUUCCGGAUGUGUACUUCCAAAAUCGAAACUGUUGGAAUGUGAAAGUCCCAUUGGUCAACUUUAUGACGAUGGAGAUGCACCAGUCGGACAGAGUAUUACGGCAAUUUGGAUUCCGACAACCAAUUCUCGUGGCACCUGAGGUGUUGAAUGAUCAUCAUAAAAUCGACCUACGAUAAUUGCAUACGGAUUGGCCCAGAUUCUGGUCACACUACAUCCAAAUAUGGGAAGAUCGGUAUGACUAUAUACCUACUCGGGAACCGAUCAUCGUUCCAGAGUUAGCGUGCGUACCAGAAUACAUGCCAUGGUUUAGGAUCAAUGGGAAGUCGUAUUUACUCUCGCCAGAGGAGAGGCAGUGGCAAUUGCAUGUCCAAAGGGAACGACGUGGCCCUCUAAAUCCAAGAAGAAGGGACGACGAAACUGGCCCAUCAACGAGGCCCAAAAAUUCACCCGGCCCAUCAUCAGCGCCUAUAACUUCAUCAGGCCCAGCAACAGCACUGACAUAAUCACUUGACCCAGCAGGUCAACGGACGAUACCUACGGCAGAGCCUUUUCAGAUUAUGCCAAGUGCAUAUCCUAGCCCUUUUAUGUAUCCUAACCCUUAUAUGUUUCCUUUUACUAGUCCCAUGGAAGGUUGGAGUUAAUGGCCCGAUUCAUCUCCAUUUUUGACUACGCCGAUUGGACCGCCGAUGUAUAGGCCAUCGUCGCAGGAGGACUCGCAAGAGGGGUCGUUGGGGAGCUCUUCUUUUACCAAACCCCAUCACUAUAUGGGUUUCAAACACCUUCGCCGUUGAUGAUGCAAACACCUCCACAUUCACUAUUCUAUCAAGGUGGCUCAUCAUCCCAACACUGACAAUCAGAUCCCCUACCGGAUGAACCAAAAUCCCUGCUGGAGCAACCACAACCCUCGCCGAAAGCUGGACAAAAAAGGAAUAUAGCGCGUAACCGUCGACGACUGCCAUGUGGCACUGAAUCCGGCGGGCACGGAGAUUGAUUUUUAUUUUAAAAUAUUUGAACAAAAUAGUUUAUAUUAAUGUAAUAAAAUACAAAAUAGUUUAUUUUGAAUAUUUUGAUAUUAUUUGAUGUAAUAAAAUACAAAAUAGUUUAUUUUGAAUAUUUUGAUAUUAUUUGAUGUAAUAAAAUACAAAAUAGUUUAUUUUGAAUAUUUUGAUAUUAUUUCAUUUAAUAAAAUACAAAUUAGUUUAUUUUGAAUAUUUUGAUAUUAUUUCAUUUAAUAAAAUACGGAAUAUUUUGAAUAUCUUAAUAAUAGAAAUUCUUUUAAAUAAGGAAAUAUGUUGAACACUUGACAUAUUAUUUCAUUUAAUAAAAUACAAAAUAGUUUUGAAUAAAGUGAUUGUAAUUUACUUUAAUAUUUUUAAUGAAAUAGAUUUAAAAUAAAAUAAGUAAAUAUUUUGAAUAUUUGCACCAAUUUUUUAUUUCAAAAAAAUAUAAAUAAUACAAAGUUGUUUACAAUUACGUUCAACUAUUGCGAUUUGGGCAUGAUCGGCUUGUAUGGCCUAGAUUCCUACACCAUCCGCACAACUUCUAUUGACUGGUUGUUUCUCGAACAUCCAUAUUAUGAAAAACGAAACUAAGUUGAGUCCCUUCGCAUGACACGCCCGCGUCCUAACCUGGUGGGUCAUCUGAAAGGAUGAAAAUUUAAGGGGAGUAAGCUUUGACACUCAAUGUGAGUAAGCUUUGACACUCAAUGUGAGUUCAUUUACAGUCAAAUCAAUGCAAAUAGGUGUUAAGACACAAUAAAUAGCAUUGUAUAAAAUAAUCAUAAAUGGCACUUCAGUACAGAGUAUAGAUUUUUUUUCAAUGCAAUCAUCUUUAGUAUAUAAGAGCUCACAAUAAUCGUAUUCAAAACAACCAGUUUCUUAUAUUUUCCCACAUUAAUCAUAUUCAUAUGCACAUGUAUAUUUUCACACACAUAUAUAAAUGUAUAUGCCACAUAAUAUAAUUUCCAGAGUUGUAUGCAUAUGAUCUAUAAAAUGCCAUACAAUUUCGAGUUUAAAUAGAAUAUAUCCUACCCCGCCGCUACACACCAUAAUGGGAGUUCUUUAGAACUCCCUUCUCCAACACACUGAGAUGUGGAUAUACCACUACGGGUUCGCAGAUAGUAACUUUCAUUUAGUUGUAGACACACAACAAGCUCUUGUAGUAAGAAUCUGCUUUCGUAUAUGGGUUCGUAGUAAUAAAUACUAUAGAUGAAACCUGCCUUUAGCUGUAGAUUUUACAACAUAAUCUUACCGUUGGAAUCGGCCUUCGGCUGUAGAUACAUACCAAUACCUACAGAUGGAAUCUGCAUUUGUCUGUGUGUGCACAACAAAACUGAUUAAUAUAAAUAAACUAACAAACUUUUUCCUAUCAAAACGUCCCAACCGAAUAAAAUUAUUGAAAUACCCUAGAUGGGUAAAAUUAUUGAAAUACCCUAGAUAGAAUAAAAUGACUGCUAGAGUUUUAUGAUAGAUUUAUAUGACUGACUGAGUAAGACAUACUGCUUACACGUAUAAUUUAUGUCAUGACAUAUUGCAUGGGGUUGGAAUUUUGUUAUAGAGGAAGUACUGUUUCUGGUGGCUCUACCACACACAUACUGAUACUAGUGGCUUUGCCACAAUUACUGUUACUGGUGGCUUUGCCACAUAUACUGUAUUGGAAGCUUUGCUGCGUUAUUAUUACUGGCAGCUAUAUUGCAAUAUUGGUGUGUGGGCUAGGUAGGUCGACUUAGUCCCCACAUGGUGUUUUGAGUAGGUACGAGUGGUGCGUUGGCUAAAUUUGGGGUGGGUUUGCAUACUUGCACCAUACUGAUACUAUAUUAGGCUUAGGCCCACACUGUUUUUAUAUUGGGUUAAGGCCUACACUAUACUAAUACUGAACAGGGCUUGGGCCCAGACUGUUACUGCGUGUUAGGGGAUUACACACUGAGUUCUCGUAACUCACCCAUAUCUUUUGACCGUGUAGGUAAUCCCCAACCUUAGAUGAUUUGGAGCCGCGUGGGACUCGGAGGUGGCCACAUUCGCCAGUAUUUAUUCCGGACCAGUUAUUUAAAUUUUACUUUGGGUGAUUUUUAUGUAAUAAGGCCUCUAGUAUUUUAAUUUUCUUUUAAUUGGGUUAUAAUUGCUUAUUUUGAACUGCUUAACAGAUACAAAUAAGUUUUCAUAACAAAAACAGUUUUUCAAGGCAAACACGUAUUUUUCAACCUCAAGAUAUCUGUAUAUGGAGUAGCUUCCGCGAAUUUUAAACCUGUUGUAACAAACUGAUUUACCGUGUAGUGAUUUUUUUAAAACUUACCAAAUGGUGCUAAGAAGUAAGAAAUAAUUGGAUUUUUAUUGAACGAAUUUCCCAUUAGACUUUGAUUUCGUAAAACACUUCUAUGUGACACGUCAGAUUCGACCGUAACGUCUAGGCCAGGUUUGGGGUGUUACAAUUUGUAUCCUAAUCAUUCAUUAAGUUCACACAAGCCUAAAUUCAUAUCUCAUACUCUUUUCAUCUUUGACAUUAUACCAUAUUCAGCUUGACCAUAUACAUUUCAUAUGAUUAUACAAUUCAAUUCAUACAUUUACAUUUGACAUACUUUACAAUUCAAUUUUUCAUUUCCAUAUUCAUUACUUACCUCAAUACACCAUGUCAAAUAUAUAUAAACACAUAUGUAAUUUGAAUUCAAACAAUCAAUAACUGAAAUAAACCUAGUACGAACUUACCUAACGAAACAACUACAAAUGCCACACCGAGGAAUACUCGAUGACUUUUACUUUCCCGCAGUUAUCGAUCGGUUGAUCUGUUUCUUAAUCUAUACAAUGAUUUAACUCAAUUAACCAAUUUCAAUACCUUAAAAUGUCCAAAUUCAUGUAUUUGGCCCUUUAACAACAUUUUACAUUAUUACCUUACACUUUUACCUUUUUUUCAAUUUAGUCAUUAAAACCAAAUCUUACACAUUUAUUAUAUGCUAGCUGAAUUCUCUUUAAAUCUCCUACAACCCAUAAUUAAUGAAAUUUUACAAUAAUUUCACCCUAAACUUAUUAUUUUAUCAUUUUAGUCCCUAAACUUAAAACUUACCAAAUUCACUUUACAAAAUAGUCUUAUUUAACAACCAAGCUUAUAAACCUAUCAUUUAACUUCAAGAACAUCAAAAAUAAUAAAUAGCACAUUCCAAAGCAUUUAACAGUUUUACAAAAUAGUCCUUGGGUUAUCUAGAUUAAGCUACAACGAUCUCAAAAACAUAAAAAUUACUAAAAACGGACUUAGAAAUAACUCACAUGCAAUGGCUGAAUGUCUUUUGGUUUUGAAGCUUUUAUUCCUUAACAAUGGUGGUAAAAAUUCAGUGGAAGAAGAAAACUAAAAGAUUAUGGUUUUUUUUAUGUUUUAUCAUACUUUUAAUCUUUAUUUAUUUACUUAAUUACCCUUUUCUUAAUCAUACAUUAUAACUAUUAUACAAUGUAUAUAAUCAUCCACUACAAUCAUUUAGGGUAUAAUUACCUUUUAAAUCCUUUAAUUCAUUUUUUAUAUCCAUUUAACACAUAUAAACUAAUAACAAUUAACUUUUACAUCUUUUACGAUUUAGUCAUUUUUCCAAAAUUAUCUAUUCAAACACCAAAAUUACUAGACCAAGUUUUAAUAUGACACUCUAGUGACCUCAUAAAUAUGAAAUAAAUAAUAUUUACUGACUCACUGGUCAAAAUUGUGGUCCUGAAACCACUGUUUCUAACACCACUAAAAACGGGCUAUUACAUGUAUGUUUAACCUUAAUUGGUGAUUGAUUAUUACGCCUGUACAUGUUAUGGUGUAAAUGGUGGUAUGUGGUGUGGUCACGUUAGUGACUAAUGUGAUGUUCUGGAUUCGGGUCAAAUCGUCCCAAUCGAGUUUGGGGCUUCGACAUGAAAACCUAAUACAAAAGGUUGUAUGCCUUUCUUCGUAUUAACCAUUGCAAAAUGUUCCAGAACCAUAUUUAUGUAUGAAGUUUGUGAUAAAUGUAUCAUUUUGUUCUUUCAAUGCAUAAGUAUUCGAAUUCUUAGAAUAUAAUUAGCUUCACCCAAGCCUUUGAUGCUAAACUAUUGAGUAAACCAUAGAUUAACCAUAAUAAUGUCGCUUUUGUUAGUUGUGUAAAACACCAGUACACCCCAUGGUGUAACGAAAAAAAUUAAAUUUGGUGAUCACAUUCAAUGAUCCAUGUGUGAGGAACAAAUCAGGGUGAGAAGGGUAUGAACGAUUAUCUUUAAUCGUCUGGAAAACCAAAGGUAACUAUUGUGAAACUGAUUACGCAAUUGUAUGUCGAUUCCAAGCAGCUACGAAAAGUUUCGGCCUCAACGUAAUCCAUCCGGUGUGACAACGAAUGGCAAGAACUCUAUUAAACUUUUCAGAGAGAAUUCAUUAUAUAACGGCUGCUAGACCUCACUUUUUUUAUUUUAGGUAUAUUAGGUUUUCUUAAAAACCCUAUAUUUCCUAAUUCGGGAAUAUUUGAUAUUUUAAUAUGAAUCAAAAUUCAUUAUAAUAAUUAACCGAAUAUAAUAAUUAUAAUUACCAUAAUUAUAAUAAUAUUUGACCAAAAAAAUACAAUUACAAUAAUUAUAAUAAUAUUCAAUCGUAAAUUAUAAUUGCAAUAAUUAUAACAAGGAUUUCGGUAAAUUAUGUUUAGUUAAAUUUUAUACGAAUCAAAUUCAUAUAUAUUAAUUUAACCAUGUUCCCAUUAUGUGUACAACAUACUUAUACAUAUAAUUCGUUCGAUAUUUAACUGCCCAAUUAAAUUAAUUCUAUAAUCAAUUUAAUUCAUGUGACAGCUAAAAACAAUACCAACUAUGUUUGGAUUCCAUUCGUUUCAACCAUAGAGUGUGACCCUAUAGGUUCUUGUAAUAUUAGCAGUAAUACUAGAACGAUUAUAUUAUUACAAAUAAUGAGUGGCAUCUAGCAAUGCAUCAUUGCUACCUAAGUUACAAGAAGUCAUGAUUCAAUAUAACAUCUCUGUGAUUAACCUUUCAUGUAUUAAAUCAUUUUGUCAUUUAUAUCUAGAAUGGACACAAGUCAUAGAAUAGUCACACUUGCAUAGUCUAUCUAAUGUUUCUCGAUAUCCUGAUUAGACUAUGAUAAACAAAUAAGUAUGAUAUCUCAUAUCAACUUAUUCAAGCAUGGUCAUUCAUUGUAGUCUCACUCAAUCAAGUGGCCUAAGAUAUUGCUUCUAUUAUGUAGGAGGGACAAAUCCUAUAUUGACCAACCAUGUCCCACUACAUAGAUUGUGGUAUAUUUAACCUCAGCCUUUAUAGAACAAUCAAUUACAGUGGACGUUUGACUGUAUCAAAAUAUACGACUCACGAUGUUAAGAUAAUGACGAUCUCAAGUCUGAGGAUCAUAUACAUAGUAAUCACUAUGAGUAAUGUUGUGACUAUUACAUAAUUAUCCAAAAAACAUACUCAUAGCGGGCUAGUCCAAUAUGUUGUUCUCAAACACACAUACUCAUGUAUGAUUUUGGCAUCCCACGUCAAUGACAACACUUUGUCAUCAUAUUAUUCUCAAGACAUUAUUAUAAAACAAUUUAUUUAUAUACACAGAAAAGAAACUGAAAUAAUAAUGGCAAUGUCUUAUAUUAAUAAACAAGGUAAAACAAGCAUAUUAUUACAAUCGUCUCAUCAUUGGUCUUUGGGCAUACCCUAACAAGUUGAACGGAUUGCAUUUGCCUAACCAAUUCUAGCCUCUAUUCCUACUUAUGCAAUGGAAACUUUAGUUUUAUCGGAGGGAGUAUGUAUGAAGAUGGAGGGAAUCAUUUGAAGCUUUAUUUGAGGUAAUUUGGAAGAGCAUUGGACCAUUCAUUUGGUGAAGUGGAAUGAUGUUUGUAAAUAUAGUUUGGAAGGUGGCUUGGGUUUAAAAGAAUGGAUUCUUGAUGAAAUUGGGAUACCAAUUAGCCUUGAAUGAAGACCGUCUUUGGGCUAAGGUUCUCCGUUCAAAACACAAAUGGAAUGGAGUUUUUACCAAACAACUUAGUGACUAAGGGCUGCUUUCACAUUUGGAAAGGAAUUAACCAAGCAUGGAACACUGUUAGAAAUACAAUUGUAUGGCAUAUUAGCAAUGGUGGAACAACAAGUUUUGGAUGAUUGUGGAAUCCGUGAUUAUGGUCCCUUGAUUCCUAGUGAUUUGUCUUUUAAUACAAAUUUAAGGGUCUUCACCCUAAUAGCGUCAAUGAUUAAUUUUGAAGGAGAGUGGGACUGGAAUAAAAUAAGAGCCGAUCUACCCCCAAACAAUGAUGAAAGAAAUAGCAGCCAUUAUGCCUCCUAUUGAAUCUGAUGCUACUCUUGGGUGGCGGUGGGAUGAGAAAGGGAUUUCCUCGUUGAAAUUAGCCUACAAAUCGAGAUGACACCCUAAGUUGGAUUUUGGUCCAAGAUGAAGAGGAUAUGGAACUUCAAAGGGCCACAAAAGAUAAGAGCUUUCCUUUGGUCAAUUUUGUAAUAAACCCCUUACAAAUGGAGAGAGGUAGGAAACAUUUAACAAAUGAUCUUCAGUGUUCCUUCUGUGGAAAUGGCAGAGAAGAUGAUGAUAAUGUGCUAUGACCGUGUUGGUAUGCCUUUAGUGUAUAAACCAGCACUUUAUCUCCACUAAAAGAAGCAUACCUUUUGGUUUUCUAGAAAAUUAUUUAUUUCGUUGUUGAGAUAUGAUUACAAGUUCAAAGCAUGAAUUUUGUAUCUAAACUACUACUGGCUUAGCUCAAAAUUGUUAAUUCUAGUCUUCUAGAAAAGUAUUUACUUACAAGUCAAAGCAUGCAUUUUGAAUCUAAAAUACUACACGUUUAACUCAAAAUACUAUAGGUGGUGGAGUUGGUUAAAGCGGACAAGAAUACCAAUUUCUCAUAAACAAAUACCAAUGAUUUCUUUUAUUCAUGUAUAUAAGAAGACAUCUGUAAAACGAUUAACCAAAUCCAUGUAUUCCUAUUUGUUUACCCUCGUUUAUAUCAUAUUUUGGUCUUUUUCUCAUGUCGGUCACAUUCCUAUUAUAUUAUUGAGGAAAGUAUUUUCUAUCAUGACUUGUGUUCAAAACAAUCACAUGUUAAAAGGUAGCGCAUAUAUAUAUAUACACAUAUAUACAUGUUGACCCAACUUUUAGGGCAUUUUUAUAUUGGUCACAUAAAUUGAAAUCUUUACAAUUUGGUCACCUAAUUUUUAAGGUGCUUUCAUUUUAGUCACCCGAGCGUUAAAUCUCUAACGGUAGUUAACUGUACACGCCGCAUCAUGUUUAUACUUUCAUUUUGGUCUCUCAACUUUUCGGUUGUUUUCAUUUUGGUCACCAAAAAUAUAUAUAUUUAAGUAUUGAUUAGAGUAAAAAAAAUCAAUGAUUAAAGAGAAAAGGCGAUAUAUACUAAAACAAUACACAAAAAUUAUCAAAUUGUACUUUUUUAUCCUAUUGCCGAAAUUCUAAUUUUUUUUAAUAUUUAAUUUUUAAAUUUCAAAACAUCAAAAUAUAUUUAAUAAAUUUAUUAAAAAAUCUUUUAUCCAUUAAUAAUGCCAACCGAUUUGUUACUAUAAUAUUAAAAUUAGUUAAUUUUAUCUUUUUAAAAUUUUAUUUUAUGUUUCUAGAUUAUCCUUAACAAUAUUAUAUAAUUGCAAUUAGUUAAAUUAAUUGUUUGUUCUUCGUUUUGGUAAAGAAGUGAUGAAAACAUUAUGAGUUUUGUUUGGAAUGGAAGAUAAAAUUAAUUAAUUUAAUUAAUUGGAAGGAUAUUUCUUUAUUUUUAACUUAGCAUAGAAGAUUCAACAUCAUAUAAUCAAAAGAAAUUUGGGUUUCAUAGACUACUAUUAAAGACAUUGAUUGUCAUAGAUAAUUUUUUUAAAAUAAUUUCAAAACAUCAAAAUAAAUUAAAUAAAUGGUUGAAUCUUUUUUAUCCAUUGAUAAUGUCAACCAAUUUGCUACUAUAAUUUUGAAUCUUAAUAUUUAAAAAUUUAUAUUUCAAAACCCAGAUUUAGAAUUUUCGGCAAUAGGAUAAACAAGUACAAUUUGACAAUUUAUGCGUAUUAUUGUUAGUUUCUAUUGCCUUUUCACUUAAUCCUUGAUUUUUUUACCCAAAUCAAUACUUAUAAAAAAAAUAUUUUUGGGUAACCAAAAUGAAAACGACCUAAAAGUUUGGCGACAAAAAUGAAAGUGCGAACAUGAUGUGGUGUGUAUAGUUAACUGCCGUUAGAGAUUUAACACUUGGGUGACUAAAAUGAAAGUGCUCUAAAAAUUGGAUGACCAACUAGAUAAUUUAUGCUAUAUAUAUAUUGAGGUUGGGUAGAGUAACAUAUAUUUUUAUUAUUAUCGAUUUAAGAGAAGGCUCUGACAACGGGAGGAUGGGCGUAGUUAGAGGUGUUCAUGGGUUAGGCCCAUGCAAGGUAUCUAAAUCAGUUUUAUAAGCUCGGGCUCAACUGAUCUGAAAAAUGGGCCUACAUUUUUUCCCAAGUCUGGCCAAUUUAAGGAAGGUAAACUCAUGCCCUAUCGAGCUCGCCCUUAUUUGAUUUUUUUAGAUUAGUUCUUAUUUAAUUUUUUUAAAUAUAAUACACUAAAUGCACUAAACAAGACUAAAAUAAGAGUUUUCUAACACAUUAAAAAUUAUUUAUAUUAAAAACACUACCAUAAAUAUAAUAAAUAUUUUAUUAUAUUAAAAACACAAAUAAAUAUAAUGAAUAUUUUACUGUAUUAAAUGUAAUUUAUAAAUUUUAUAUUUUAGGUUGAGUUAUUUAGUUGGUUAAGUUUUUUUAAGUUUUGUGUAAUAAUUAAAUUUAAUUGUUAUUGGGAUAGUGACUUACUAUAAAUAUAUAUAAUUAUUAUUUAACACAUAUAAUUAAUAUAAUUAUUUUUUAUAACAUAAUAUAUUCAAGUCGGGUUGGGUCAGGAUUGAGGUCAGGGUUAGGCUAAAAAAAUAUUGCCCCAGGCCCGACUCAUAUAAAAAAACAAACAUUAAAUUUUAUUCAGGGUCAUUUUUCAAAUCUCAUAUUGUUAUCCAAAUUCUCUUAUUUUUCGAACCAACUUUAUGUGAAAAGCAAUUGAUGGAUUUGGUACUUUGUAAAACUAAAACUAAAUCUAAAUCGACAUAUGAAUUAAACAAAAUAAAUUGAAUCUACAAAAAAAAAAAAGUUAUGCUUAUGUUACAGUUGUAUUUUUGGAUAAAUAUUACUUACUAUUUCAAGAAUUUAUUUACAAUUAAGGUAAAAGAAUUUCUUAUAUUUUAAAAUUUUUUAGUUAUUUCAUACCUUUUACUUAAUUUAUUUAAAAUCAAAAUUAUAUCAAAAUUUAUAAUUUAUCUCAUUAUUUUAAGAUUUAAUUUAAUUGAAUUAACUUUAUAUGUUAUUAUAUUAAAAUGAAUUAAUAUUAAAUUCUUAAGCAUAAAAUAUAGUUUUAAAAUAACACAUGUUAAUAACAUUUAUCAAAUUAAAUUUAUAUUUUUAAAAUAUAAUUAGAAUUAAUUACAUUCAUUGAUUAAAGUAGAGUAAAUAUAAAUACAAAAUUAAAACAAUUGAAUAUUAACAAUCUUGAUAUUAAAAUAAAUUACUGUAACAAUAUAAAAAAUCAAAUAUCCUAUAAGAAAUUAUUAAUAAUAUUACUUAAAUUAUAAAUUAUAAUAUUAAUAUUCAAAUCAUAAUGAAUUUUUUUAUAUAUUUUUAAUAUCAAAUAUUUUAAAAUUAAAUAAAAUUGAUUUUAAAUUAAUCAAGCGUGUGUAUGAUAAAUUGAAAAUUAAGUGCUAAAAAAUUAAGUGUUGAAUUUUUACUGCUAAAUUUUAUAAGUAUUGAAUUUAUAUAAGAAAUUUGUUUGGUAAAUUAGUAAAUACAAGAGCUAAAUAUGAUUAUGUUUUUUUUAAUAAAAGUAAAUAUUGAUUUUUUAAAAUAUUAUUAAUUUUUUAAUUUAAUCUUAUUAAUAUAAUAUUAAUAUCCAGUACUAAAAAUUAUAUAUAAAAGUAAAUAAUAAUUUUUAAAAUUUUUAUAUAAUAUUAAUAUUCAAAUAGUUUUGGAUGAAAGAUAGAUAUGUCAAUUUGAUUAUCUCUUUUUUUAAAGUAAUUUAUUUUAAUUUUUUUAAUAAAAUAAGAUUAACUUAAUAUUUUCUGUAUUAAGUGAUAAGUAGCUACUUAUCUACUUAUAUUAUUCAACAUUUUAUGUUAAACAUUUUAUAUUAAGUAAAAAAUUAAAAUAAUUAUCAAACACAUUUAAAAUAUUAAAUGUUGAAAAUUUUCAUUUUGAAUGAAAUAAAAAUUUUCAAUAGUUUAUUAAACACAAUCUAAAUAUUUUUAAAAAUAUUUUGUAACUAUAAUACUUUUCAAUUGAUUAUUCAUUAAAAAUUUUAAUAUUAUAAAAAAUUAUAAAUUUAAUAUAAAAGAUCAACAUCUACAUCACAUGAAAAUACAAACUAGUUGUUAUCUAUGACAAUAUAUAAAAGGAGAAUACGUUGAAACAUUGAAAGGGAAUCGGAGAAGGGAAAUAGGAAUAAAAAAAAGUUUAAAAGUGUAAAAAUUCGUCAAAAUCUUUUUUAAAAAAGUAAUUAAGUUUUUUCUUUUUUUUUUCUUUCAGCACUUGAAAUUUUAAAAAGACCUUCAAAAUUUUUCAAAAAAGCAAUUAAGUCCCUACUAUUAUUAAAAAUUAGAAAAAAAUAAUAAAUAAUAAAUUUUAGAAAAAUUAUUAAAUUUUAAUAAAAAUAUAAAAAAUUUAAAAUUUAUUAAAAAGUAGAAACUUUUUUAUAAAAAUCGUAAAAAAUCAUAAAAAAUUAAUGACCCCUAGUUUUUUUUCAAUUAAAGUCAUCACGUGUCGCAAACACAACAUGUGAUGAAAAAUGAUAAAAAUAAAUAAAAAUCAAUAAAAGUUAUAGAAAAGAUAUAAAAUGUUACUUUUGGUACGAUAAUUUUUAUUAAUUUUUUUACGAAAUCUAUAUUUCGUUACAUUUUGUGUAAUUUUUUUACGACUUUAUAAAAUUUUAUAAUUUUUUUAUAUUUCUAUAUAUUUUAUAAUACUUUUUACGAUUUUUAUAAAAUUUCACAAUUUUUUAUAUAUUUUUACAAUUUUUAUGAUUUUUAAAUAUUUUUUCUCAUUUUUAAUAAAAGCAGUGGCUUAAUUGCUUUUUUUGAAAAAAUUUGAGGGUCUUUUUUAUACAUUUUGAAAGUUGAAGUACCUAAUUGAGUGAAAAAAAAGUUGGAGCUUAAUUGCUUUUUUAAAAGGUUUAAGGAUUUUUUUUAUGCAUUUUGAAAGUUCUAAUAGUCAAAUGAGCGAAAAAAAAAAGGCUUAAUUUUUUUUUUAAAAUUUUGAGAGCCCUUUGCACACUUAAGUUAACAAAAAAUGAAAAUGAUUUUCUUUCUUUCUUUCUUUCUUUUUAAUUUUCAUUGGAGAAUUAAAAUUUUAUUAUUAUGAAUGUCCAAAUAUAUUCCUUGAAAUUUUCAUAUAUUUACAUCAGGUAAAAUUUUAAAAAAGUUACAUAUAAAAUUUAUCAUUUUCAUGUUUAUAGUAUUUUUUUUAUAUUUUUUUAUUAUUUUUUGUUGUGUUUAUGCUAUAUAGUAAUUUCCCUAUAAUAGGUAUAGUUUAAUAUCAUGAUUUAAUUUUUUUAAAUGUUUCUUUUUAUGUUAUACUUAUGUUGUGCCUUAAUUCAUAAAUGUUUAUUAUAAUGAUUGAAUUUUAAAUUGUUGUGCAUACUUUCAGUUUUUUAAAUGAUGCGUUUAAUGAUUUAAAGGUUGGUUUGGUUUGGUUUGUUGAAACUAGCUUUAUAACUUAUUUAUUACGUAAUUAUCACAUUAAUUUUAUAAAAUCUCUUCAAUCUGAUCUAGACGUUAAACUUAAAUUCGGAAGAUUAUAUUAGUCACUGAAAUGACCUGGUAAACUAUUGGAGUUUAUAAAACCGUCAUUUUAAAAUAUUUGUUUAUCUUUAGAAGAAAAUUUAGUCUAUUUUCAGAAAAAUCCAUGGGUUAACAAAAACCGAUUAGGUUUAACAUUUUUCUUGUAACGGUGUUUACCUUUUGAAAACUUAGUUAAUUUCUAAUUUAUUUAUUAUCCAAACUUUAAUUAUCACCUAGCAACAAAAUAGUGAUAAUUAACUUAGUUUAAAUAAAAACUAUAUUUCAUGCAUCAAUAAUUAAAAUUCAUAUCUCAACAUUUAAAAAAACAACUAUUAGAGUUGUGUGACCCAAAUUCUAAGAGAUUGUUUGCAAGUCAAGUUAAACAAAAUAUAUUUCCUUUCUAGAAGAUUUAGUGUUUAUUAGUAUAAUAUACUUAGCAUUUAUUAGCAUAGUUUAUUUGACUUACUAAUUUAGCCUAUAAAUAGGUUCUUUUACAACCUUAGAAAAUACACCCAUUAGAGAUUAUAACUCAUAACACAUUUAGAGAAUUUUGUGUUUACGCUUUGAUGGUUCUUUGUUUUUGGGUUUUCGGGGUUUAGUUUUUAUCUCCAUCUUUUGUGCUCUUUGUUCUUUGUCCAUUAUAGUAAAAUUAUCUUUGCCCGUGGUUUUUUAUCCUCUUUGGAGGGGUUUUUCCAUGUUAAAUUUGUGUGUUCAAUUUCUCAAUUUAUUCCGCUAUUUUUUUACUUGUUGCUUAAUCGGGUCUAUCCUAACAAAAACAAAUUAAAUGUUAAGCAUGUUAUAUAAGACCCAAAACCUAAAUCUCAUGCCGUAAUUUAAUAAUAAAAUAAUAUAGUCUCUAAAUAACAAAGAAUGUGAAUAAUAAACCUAAUAUACUUUAAUUAAUAAAAAAAAUGUUUCAAGCUGAGACCCUCCAAAUGCCGUGUCCACACCCUAACCUGGUGGGUUAUCUGUAGAGAUGGAAAUAAACAGGAAGUGAGCUAUGAAGCUCAAUGUCAAUUCAAUCACCAAAAAAUCAAUUCAAACAGUUGAUAAAACAUACUAAAUAACAAUGCAUAGAAUGGUCACCAUCAAUUAUCAAUUCAGAGUAUUGAUUUUAAGAAUCAACUAUCAAUAUAAUAUUUUAGAGUUCAUAGUUUAUGUAUGCACGUGUUUGUAUGUGACAAUGCAAUUUCAAUAUAUCAAAAAAGAUCAUACCCAACUUCGCUACACACCACAAUGAAAGUUCAUCUGAACUCCAACCACCUACGCACCGGGUUGUGGUUUAACCAUCAAUAGUUUAUGGAUAAACUACCAAUGGCUGUGGAAACACAACAAAAUCUCGCAAAUAGAAUAUGCUUAUGGCUGUGAAUACACAGUAAAAAUCUUGCAUAUAAAAUUUAUCUUUAGCUGUGAAUACACAACAAAAAUCUCGCAGAUAGAAUCUGCCUCUGGCUGUGGAUACACAACAAAUUUGCAAAUAGACUACCGAUGGUUGUGGCUUGCACAGCAAAUUUGCAGAUAAACUGUCAAUGCUUCCUUUAUACAUAUUUUCCCACCUCAUACAAUGUAAUAUGAUAUGCUUAUAACAGAUCAAUACAAUAACAAUUAAAAUGCUUAUAAUAGAUCAAUACGAUAGAAAUUAAUAUGCUUAUGACAGAUCAAUACGGUAGCAAUUUGUAACCUCCCCAACCCAACCUAGACGUUAGACCCGAAUUCGAAAGACUACAUCAGCCACCGAGAUGGCCUAGCAAGGUUAUCGGAGUUUUUGAAAACAAUUAUUUUAAAAUGUUUAAUUAAUUUAGUUGAAAACUUAGCUUCAAUGCCGAUUUAUUAUUAUUCCCCAAGGUUUUAAUUAUCACCUAGCAACAGAAAAGAUGGUAUUGACUUAUGUAUUUAAUAAAAAUCGAGGUUCAUACAUACUAAUUAAUCAUUAUAGCAUAAUAUCUUAAGAGUUCAAUUGGAAUUCCACGGUUAAUGAAUAAAUAAUAAAAUAUUUUAAAGGAAACAAAGAAUAUUAAUGAGACUUAAAAUAUUAAGAAAAAUGAAAGUAAGUUGAGUCCCUUCGGAUGACACGCCCGCGUCCUAACCUGGGGGGUCAUCUGAAAGGAUGAAAAUUUAAGGGGAGAAAGCUUUGACACUCAAUGUGAGUUCAUUUACAGUCAAAUCAAUGCAAAUAGGUGUUAAGACACAAUAAGUAGCAUUGCAUAAAAUAAUCAUAAAUGGCACUUCAGUACAGAGUAUAGAUUUUUUUUCAAUGCAAUCAUCUUUAGUAUAUAAGAGCUCACAAUAAUCAUAUUCAAAACAACCAGUUUCUUAUAUUUUCCCACAUUAAUCAUAUUCAUAUGCACAUGUAUAUUUUCACACACAUAUAUAAAUGUAUAUGCCACAUAAUAUAAUUUCCAGAGUUGUAUGCAUAUGAUCUAUAAAAUGCCAUACAAUUUCGAGUUUAAACAGAAUAUAUCCCACCCCACCGCUACACACCAUAAUGGGAGUUCUUUAGAACUCCCUUCUCCAACACACUGAGAUGUGGAUAUACCACUACGGGUUCGCAGAUAGUAACUUUCAUUUAGUUGUAGACACACAGCAAGUUCUUGUAGUAAGAAUCUGCUUUCGUAUAUGGGUUCGUAGUAAUAAAUACUAUAAAUGAAACCUGCUUUUAGCUGUAGAUUUUACAACAUAAUCUUACCAUUGGAAUCGGCCUUCGGGUGUAGAUACACAUCAAUACCUACAGAUGGAAUCUACAUUCGUCUGUGUGUGCACAACAAAAUUGAUUAAUAUAAAUAAACUAACAAACUUCUUCUUAUCAAAACGUCCCAACCGAUAGAAUAUGAUAGUAUUUAAUUUACUAACACAUGACAAACCAGUAGCAAAGUCAUGCUUUUUCAUGUAUUCGGGUUUCAAUAUCACAAGGCAUGUCAUUCAUACAAUUGCAAGCAUAAAUACAGAAGUAACAUAUAUUAUUCAAAAUUCAUGCAAUUAUUCAUAAAUAUAAAUAAAUACCACAAUAUUUCGAUCAAUCAUGAAUUUUAACAUGCUUUCUAUCAUCAGGGACCUAAUUGAAUAAUUUAAUUCAGUAAAUAUAGUUUAGAACUUCUUCAGGGACUAAUCUGAUCAAAACAUAAAAUUAUGGGUCAAAACUGUAGCAAUUUGAGUUACAAAGGUCACACAAUCAUGUGACCGGAUUGUGUGGGAAGCUCUAGACUGUGUGGAGGACACGACCGUAUGGCUAGGCCACGUGAGAGAUUGUGGUCGUGUGGUGUUUCGAAAAAUUAACCUACAGGGAAGACAUGGCUUUUAGGGGUGGCAUGGUCAUAUAUUGGGUCGUGUAGUCCACAGAGUGGCCCACAUGCCUAUGUGGUUAGCUGUGUGGUUUGGGCUAGGCUCGAUUUUGCCUCGAUUUUCUUGUAAAAGAAUAAACACCUAACUUCCGGGGUUUCGAGUGACGAUUCUCGCAUACAAAUUCGAUCCAAAAAACCUACAAUGAGUUUUUCAGAUGACAUUUACACUAGAAUUAAAGAUUAUUUUCAAGAUAUUUGGGAACUCGUAAAAGAUUCGUAAUCGAGUUGAAAGAUUAGCUAGAACGAUGAAACCUCAAAAUUUAUGGGUUUUACAAAUUAAUAACAAGAAUACUUACCGGUGUUUUGAUGAGAAUUCAAAGAUCAAUGACGAUAGUUUCAACAAUCGUUGGAUGAACGAGUUAGAUUGUGAAUUGAUUUCGAUUUGGGUUUUUAAGAAAUCAAUUUUCUAGCAAAGAUUGCAAAACUUUUAUGAAAGGAAAAAGGAGAAAUAAAAAGGAUGAAAAAUUUAAAGAAAGAAAAUAAAAGAGUUUAAUUUAGGGUUGCAAAGGAUUUAAAAUCAAUGUAUAAUUAAGAAAAGUAUUUAAACACCUAGGAUUUCAAAAUUAGAGGAGCUGGUUGGGCAAAUAGCCCUUCUUUCCGUCCAAAAAAGGAAAUGGAAAUGAGAGUAGUGCAUCUUGAAUUUAGGGACAAGGGGGAAUGAAAGGCCUUACCACUUGGGUUGUUGCCCAUUCUUAGCUUAUUUCUACCACAUUUAAUAUAUAUAUUAGAUUGAGUUUGUUCCUUAGUUGUUGAAAAAAAUAAAAGAAAAUGAGAAUAGUGGGGUUUGAACCUUGGUUUUCUAGGCAUUAUACUAAGCUCUUAACCAUCAAGAAUAAGACUCAUUUCUUGGUUAUUUUAUUAAUUUUAACCCUAUGUAUUUUGGGGUGUUACACAAUUAAUAUGUAUUUUGGCUGUGUUGGGAGGCUCAAAUUAUGUGAGAAGUAGAGUUUUAGGGUUUCAAUAGGGACAUGGUCGUGUGAUCCACAUGGGCUAGCCACACGCCCGUGUGGUAGGCCGUGUGCGACUGGGCAGUUUCAAAUUUUGACUAGAUUUUUCAUAAAAGAACACACAACGAUGGUUCUCAUGUCCAAGUAUGAUCCGGAUUACCUACACGAGUCUUUCUAUUGGCAAAACGCAAGAAUUAAUGACGAAUUUUAAGAUUUAAGGGGGUUUGACAAUAUCAUAAAAGAUCUGUAAUAGAUGAAAGAUCUAACGAAAAUAAUGAUUUUCUAAAAUUGAUGAGAUCUAGCUAUUGGGAACUUGAAAAACUUAUCAACCUUGAUAGAAAUUUAGAAAUUGAUGGCACGAAAUUCAAUGACUGAUGAUAACGAUUCGAUCUAGACUUGAUUGCAAAGUUAAGAUUCAGGAGCUAGAUUUCCAGUAAAAACUUUGAGAGAAUUUUUCGAAAGAGGUAUUGUAGAGAAACUUGAGAAGAAAUAGGGAGAAUGAAGGUUUCAAUUUGGGUUAUAAUCAAAUAGGAAAUCCUAAUUGUGCUAGGAAAGUGGUUUAUUAGUUGAACUUUGGAAAAAAUAAGGGUUGUUUAGCAAUUAACUCUUUUUGGCCAAAAUCAAGGAAAAAAUAAAAGAAAGAAACUGACACCAAUAUGACUUAAGCCUCUACUCAAAAGGGAUGGAAAGGAUGAAGCUUAGCUAUUGGACUAAUAGCGGCCAUAUUUUACCAUAAAUAAUACAUAAACUGUUUUAACAUUGGUUCCUUAAGUGUAGAAAAAUAAAAGGGAAAAGUGAAAAAGGCAAGAUUUGAACCUUAGUUCUCUAGAGAUUUUAUUAAGCUCUUAACCACAAAUGCUAAAAUGUAAUUUAAGUAAAUUUUAAAAUUCUAACCUCCUAAUUUUUGGGGUGUUACACCUACGUUUUUGUUCACAUUUCAAUAAUUUGUUAAUUCUAUCUGCAACUUGUAAGGUUUAACAAUUUAACAAAUUAUCCCCCAUUUAUUUGUCACGGUGACAUAUUUACACAUUUCUACUUUCAUAUCCCAUUUCAUGACUCCUUCACAUACACCAAAAUUAUUCUUAUUAGUAACUCUAUGGCAACCAAAAUACACAUAAUAUAUAUUAUUAGUUAAUAAGACAUUUCAUAACCAAUCAUUUCUACUUCGACUUUAUCAAUGAAUUAUAUCAACACCUUUUAAACAUAUUUACUCAUCAUUUUCAUAUGUAUAUCAGUAAUUCAUUAUUUCCACAUCUUAAUCCAAGGAAAUUUCCUUACAUUCAUACACAUACUUAUUUUCAUAUUAAUGUCACAAAUAUUUUUUUAUUAAUCUUCUCAAUAUGUUAGAGUAGGAGUAAUGGUAUCCAAUGGUACUUACACUACUUCUUAACCACUAGGUCAAUAAUUUUCUUAUUUAACAAAUGCACAAUGAUAACCUUAUAAAUCGGGGCAUGACUACUCUCUAUUUUCACAAAUCUGAUUCUUCUAACCCGAUUUUCGAUGUGUGACAUAUUAAAAAACAAAGAAUUUGGUAAUCUUGAUAAAUAAUAAGGUCUCGAGGCUUUUUUGCUUAAUUUGAGUGAUAGCUUUCACCUAUGUGAAGGUAUGCUUUAAAUAUCACCCAUCUUUUACUCAACUUCAAUUAUUUUUGUUCCGAUUGUAUCCUCACCCAACAACCACAUAUUACAAGUACAACUGUUCAUGGGUUGGGUGACUCACCUGACCGCGUCAGCCUAGUCCAUCAUUUCUUGUCCUCGGGCCAACUAACUCGUCUAGAAUUUAAAUCAAAUGAUUUUUUAAAAUACUUUUAUUUAAUUUAAAUUAUAAAAUAUAUAGAUAUUAAUAAAAAUAUUUUUAUUAAUUUAAAAAGUAUUAUUUUAUUAUUUUAUAUAUUUAAUAUAAAUUUAAAAAUUAUACAGUUAUGUAGGUACUUUUUGAGAAAAUAUAUUUUAUUAUAUUAAAAUUAAAAUUAUAAGUAUUAUUUUAUAAAAACAAUAUAUUAAUAUUAUUAUAUAAUUUAAUUAAAUUAAUAAAAAAUUAUAUGCAAAUAUAUAACUAAAAAAUAUUAAAAUAUAUAAUUUUGAAACUUGAAUCUUAUUUAACAUAAUACUUCCGUUUUACAUAAGCGUAACAAACGUAACAUAAAGGGGUUUAUUUGUAGUUUACUGACAAGCAAAUUUGGUGGUAUAGAAAUUCUUUUUAUUUCAUUAUUUAAAUGAUGCAUUUAAAAGUAUUGAUAAAAGUAUGAAUGGCAUGUUAAUUUAAAAUUUGUAUUUAUUCAUAAAUUUAAUAUUUAUAAUGAAUACUAAUAUUUUUUUAUAAAUUUAAUUUAUUAAUAAAGAAACGAUUGAGACAAUUUAAACAUAUAUAAAUAAUUGCAACAUUAUUGGUAGAGAGAGGAGUACUGGGAGAAAGCAGAAAAGAUUGAAUAAAUUUAGACUAUAAGGUUGAACAAAUGAAUAAGUUUGAGAAAGUAUUUUUAGAAAUAAUUUUUUAAAGUCAGAAGUUGAAAAAGUUGUAUUUAUGUGUUUUUGUUGAAAAAUUCUUAUGUUUGACGUCUCAAAAUGUUUCUUAGCUUUUGGCAUUUAUUUAGAUAAAUAAAAAAGGAAUAUAUCUAUGUUUGCCCCUCUCUUCUUUUUCAAGCUUUUCAUUGGAUUUUAUCAUCCUAAUCAAGAAAGCAAUUUUUUUAAUCAGCAUACAUAUUUUUAAAUAAAUUCUAAUUUUCAGUUUGAUAUAAUAAAAUUAGUAACACUUUUGGUUAAAACCUUAUUUUGCUUAAUUUUAUGCAUUUACCUUUUCAAUUCAUCAAAUACAUACAUAUAUAUAUAUAUAUAUAUAUAUAUAUAUUAUUCACCAAAAACAUACAUAUAUACAUUUAUAUAGAUCAGUUGACUUAUGAAUUGAGUAGUUGAACCAUUUUUUAUUUUUUUAAUAUUUUUUAAAUUUUAAUGUUUUAUUUAAUUGAACUAGAUGGGUCAGUCAAACUGGUUGAACUAAUGAACUAGUGGCCUGAUCAGUUCGACCAUGCACGAUUCUAAAAACAUUGGUUAGAAUAUUUCAUACUGACAUAUGCUAAUAGUUUGAUAAUGAAAUUUUGAUUUCAUAGUAUCUAACUAUACUAAAAUUUUUCUGAUAAAAAAGAAAACUAUACUAAACUUUUCAAGGUCUAAACUAAUGUACAGUAUUAGAGAUAAAAAAAAUUAUCAAUAAAAAGGAGAGGAUCCCGCAGUUAUCAUUUUAUUUGUGGAACAUCGAGAGCAUUUUAUUCAACAUGAAAAUGACCAUAAUGAUUUGAUAAUUAUUUCCAUUAUUCAACAAUUGGUGUGAUGCCAUGUUCAUUAUGAUUGUAGGGGUUUAAAUUUUUUUAUAUUAUUUAUAUAUUAUUUAUGAAUUUUUAUAAGUUUUUUUAAUUUUAAAUAUUUUUUAUUAAUUUGAUAAAUUUUUAUAUAAGUUUUUAUGAUUUUUAUAAGUUUUAAGUUUAUAAGAAUUUUAAUAAUUUUUAAUGUUUAAUAUUUUUAUGAUUUUUAAUGAAUUUUUUAUAAGUUUUUAAGAUUUUUUUACAUUAUUAUAAAAUUUUAAAUAUUUUUAUUAAUUUUAUAAUUGAUUUGAAUUAUUAUAUUUUUAUAAUAUUUAUAAGUUUAUAUCAAUUUUAAUAUUUUUUAAAUAUUUAAUAAUUUUUAUGAUUUUUUAAUAUUUUUAUGAGAUAAUAUUAGAUUAAAUCAAAAUCUACCACAUGCCACAUCUGUUUGGUCCAUUAAUUUAUUUUAAUGAUCAAUGUGAUCAAUCACGAGCUUCAUUAAUGGAGGAGUUUCAUUAACUAUUUUAAUGAAGAACAAAAUUUAAUUGGAUACGAGUUGAAUAAAGAUAUUUAAUCAAAAUUUCCCAAUUUCUUAAAAAGUGUUCAUUUAGAUAUAAGCGCUUAUUAAAACCAUUAAUAUCGCUACAUGAUAGGCACAAACAUGCCGAGAUGAACCACACAAAUUUGAGAAACAGAGUCACAGCACAACAAAGCACACAACAGGUUAAAAACACAUGCUGCAAACCGCAAAUUCCCUGGAUCGUAGACUAAAGGGAAAGGAGUUGGCCAGUUUGUCAGCUUCCUCAAAUCCAAAAUUCGUCAUCAAAUCGGCACCGGAUCAACCAACAGUGAAGUAAUCCCAGCCUUUGUAACAUUUCCGACGUGUGUAUAACCAUCUCCUUCUUUGUAAAGGAAAUCCAUAACCUUCGCAAGAUUGAGAACGCAAGUAAGGACUGGAAAUGGAGCCCUAGCUGGCUUAAACAACAACUCCUGGUUUAUAUCUUUCCAAGCAGUAUCAAUUAGCUUCUUUAACUCUUCACAUGCCUUUUCUUCUGAAACCCCAUGUUGCUUCAUGUAGCAUUCAACCGCCGAUGCACAAUGUCCUCUCUCUUGCUCAAACUGCAUGCGCCCAUAAUUUUUUAUUUUUUUAUUUAUUUUCAUGCAAAUCCAAAAUCAAACAUUAUGCAAUCUAACAUUUGAGACGAUUAAAGUAGUAAGAAAUAAGAGUACAAUAGCUGGUACCUUGUGUGAGACGAUAUCAUCCAUGAGACGGGCAAUCAUUGAAGAAGCUCUUACGAUCUUAGGGUUGUUAGAUGCCCAAUUGAAGGUUUCUUCUGUAACGACGUCUCCCAUUCCAACAAAAGAUGUGAUUGUAACCAUGGGGUAGCCAGAAGAUACUAAGGCGUUUUUCAUGUACUCUUCUACCGUCGGUACGUAGUUUUCAUGGUACCAUUUGGCCUCAAUAAAAUAAGCUUGAGAUAAUUGUUUCAUCUGAAAAUUGAAAAGAAAAAAAAAAGAUAUAUACACAGAAAUUAUCUCUUUUGAACUAAAUAAAUAAUGAUAAAUGAAAAAAAAAGGGUUUUAUUAAUGUGAAUUUACUGCUUCUUUUGCGUAUUGGACCCUGUAUGAUUUUCCUUGCUUGGUCAUCACUUUCUCCAUUUCUUCAUAAAGAUCAAAGAGUGCUUCGUAGAAAACUUUCAUGUAUGCUGGGAGCCCAUCAAUAAAGCUGGUAUCCCACCUGAAAUUAAAAUUUAAGAUUCAGUCAAAUUCUAAUUGUUUGAAGACAUAGAAUAAGUUAAUUGUAAUACUGUAAACAUAGAUACUGCAGACCUCUCAAUCGCAUUUGUAAAGAGUUCAAGUUCUUCAUAUGUGCCAUGUACAUCAUAUAUGUCAUCCAUGGUUGAUGCCAUGACUAUUGCUUUUGUCAUUAUCUCUCUUGCAAAGGAAUAUUGGGGUUCAAAGUACACUCCUAAUAUCCAAAAAUAACAUUCAACCAAUCUAUCUCGUGCAAAAGGUAGUUUUGUUGCAAAAUCUAACUCUUUCCACCACCUGAAAUUACAUAAACCAUUACCUCAAAAAUUAAUAAUUAUUGGAGAAAUUUUCAAGAGAUAUUUCAUAUGAGGAUUAGUAAGUAGCAAU
rnacentral:lncRNA from 1 species